GAGCAAACUUGUUUUCUCCCUGCUCUGGAGGACAGGACCCAAAGCAAUGGCUUCAAGUUACAAGAAAGGAGAAUCUGAUUAAACACCAGGAAGAACUUUCUUACGGUAAGAGCUGUUUGACAGUGGUACAGACUCACUUGGAAGUGGGUGGACUCUUCUUCCUUGGAAGUUUUUAAGCAGUUUGGGUGGCCAUGUGUCCUGCAGGGAUGCUUUAGUUGAGAUUCCUGUAUUGCAGGGGGUUGGACUAGAUGACCCUCAAGGUCCCUUCCAACUCUAGAGUUCUAAGAUUCUUUGGUUCUAUGAUUCUAAGUACAGGUCAAAAAGAGUGAUAAACUAACAAGUCCUGUUGGAGCAGAAUUCCCAUUAAAUGUUUCCAAUGGUUUCUUGCAUAUUAAUGAUCUUAGCAUGUUGAACAUGCCUGGUUCUCUAUCUCUUUCUCCCCUCCUUCUUCUUCUUCUUCAGUUUAUAUUGUAGCCUUACUGGAGUUCACUGAUUGGGUCUGCGUUGCUCCGUGACAGGGGGAAGGAAGUCAAAAUGACACCGAGUUGGUUCAAAGAAAGAGUUUAUUCUCUUUUGAAAGAACAAAAAGGGGGGGGGGGUUGAGUCAGUUUUUAAACUUACUACACAGAAACCCAUUCCUUCAAUAUAUUCUACUACUUUGUGAAAACUGAUCUUUAUCCUUGGUUAUUUUUGUAUGAUAGUGCAGUCUUAUCUAUAUGAUACUGCUGUUUUUGUAUAACUGUACUCUACAAUUUAUACCUGUGUAGUUAAAGGUAAAUAAUGCAUUAAUAGAUCCAGUUGGUGGAAGUGACUGGGGAACAGCAUACAGAAAUACAUGACUACCUAACUGGAUCCUUUUGUGUUAAUGACCUUUCCCUGACUAUUUUUAGAAAUCCAGUGCAUCCAUAUUCUUGCCAACCACACUGUUGCAAACUGACAUCCAUAUAUGGGUCCAUAAUAAUGCAUCCCAAUAACCAUUUUCCUCCAACAUAUUUGGAUGGACUGUUUUAUACUACUAGCUCUCUCCACAUAUACAAAUGUUUCAUUUCCCUCUCAACUUUUUGUUAUUGUUCCUUGUGACCAAGAGCAAUUACUCCAUUUAAAUAGUAUCAUGGUAUUUACCAGAUAAUGGCAAAGAAUAUUAUAUUCCUCUUACAUUACAUAUCCUUCCUUUGCAUGGCAGCAAUAGAGACAAAUUAAUGCUUUCCUUUUAGUGACAUUGACAAGGCUAGCUUUAUUAUUAUUAUUAUUAUUUAUUGAAUUUAUAUACCGCCCUAUACCCAGAGGUCUCGGAAGUUCACAGAAUAAAAUCAAAAUAUAAAACUACAAAAUACAUAAUCAAAAUAAAAACAACAACCCAAUAACCCCCCCCCCAAAAGCUCACCACAUUUUAAAAGGGCAAGUGUGUGGAUCUGGUCUGCGACUACUCGCUCCAGAAUCUUGCUCAGGAGAGGGAGAUUAGCCUUGUUUCUAUAGUUUAUUGUUCUAGUGGUAUUUUGAAGUAUCGUAGAGACAAAGAAAAAGUAAAAUUAAAUUUGAAAAUUGAGUCAACACAACAAAUCUGAAAUAAAGAGAAGGUAGGAAUUUAAAUCUAAAAGGCCAUAAUACAGUGCACCAGGUAAACACUUAAAUUCAAUUGAAUUCAAAGGAGUUUUAAGCAUGGCUAACCCCAUGCUAGAUUGUGGCAUUUAUCUAUAUUUAAUGUGAAGCAAAUAGGAUAGCAAGCUGCACUGGCAAGUGGGUCAAUACUAUUUAAAAAUAUGACUUGCUGGUUGUGAAUUUUUACAGAGCUAAGAGUUAUAUAUUGUAAGCUCCAGCAUUUGUUUUGACAUAAAAUGUGAGUUGCUGGGUAAAAUAUCAACAGUAGUCAGGUCAGGAACUACUGCUGAUCAGAGUGGACUGUCCUAAGCAUUGGUCUAUCUUCCCCAGUCUGAGUAUAAAAUAUAUCUUCCUAUAUACAUCAAAAUGUAUGGCUGUCAUUGCACAGUCCCCACUAAAGGAUUUGUAGUGAGUGCUGUAUCACAAUCUUGGAUUUGCAUAAUGCCAGGGUGGGAUUCAAAAGCAAAAGAGAAGGCAGGUUAUACAAAACCAGUGGCCAUGCAUUGGAGCCAGAAGGGAGUGACAAUGAGAGGGGGGAAGUGGUGGUUUAAAGAAACAGCAGAAAUUUGAGUAAUGCAGGGAUGGAUCUUAGCAUGUGACAGGUGGCUUUAAUGACAGAGGUUUGAGUAAAGUACUGUGGGAUAUUUGAGGAUUCUGCAUAUUUCUCUGUCGUAUAUGAGGCAGUUAAGAACUGGAAGAUGGAGACUUCAGUACAGUGAGAAGUGAGAGACACUGAAAGGGAGGGGAAGUGGCUGUUUUAAACAGCAGUAGUUUGAAUAAAGCAGAGGUGGAAGGACACAGAGGCAAAUGGUGGUUUUAAACCACAACAGAGGUUCCCAAGAUACUAGCCACUAAUCUUUCACUUCACUUUUUUUUAGCUAUUAAGAGUUCCAGAAACUUGUAUGCCUUGCUGGUGUGCUUGAGGCCUCUGCUCCCAAACCAGACUUGAUAUUCCUGUAUGUAAAUGAACUCUUUGCAUUAGUUUUUCUGACAUGGCUUUGUCAUUCCAAAUUUCCACUGUGGCUUUAUCCAUUUACUUCCAAAAGUAUGUGAAGAUCAGUCUAGCUUCUAUUAGCAAGAAACCAAUUAGUUAUUCCCUUUAACCAUCCAAAUUUUGACCAUCCCAGAUGUUCAAGAUUACCAUGGUGGGAAUUGGUUUAUCUUUGUGGGUAAUCAGUUGGAUUUCUUCAAUUAUCUGACACCAGACAAUUGCCACUUUAGGAGAAUUCUACCAUAAGUGGAAUCAUGUGCCAUUUUCAGGGUCCACAUCUCCAGCAUUUUUGUGAAAAUAUCCAGGAAGUGAAAUAUGCCAGCAAGAUUCCUUCAUAUAUUAUUAUUUUUUCAAAAUCAGUAGUUCGUUCUGAGACACACAAAUUCAAUUUCUUGGCCUUCUUCACUUGGAGAAAUGUAGCCUUUAUGUAGAUUCUGCAUAUUAUCACAUGGAGAUGUAUUCCUAUGUAUUCCUGAGGUCGGCAAAACACUUAUUGUGGUCUACCUGAUUACAGGCUGGGUGUGGGUGGCGUGCCAACUGGAAACACUGACAGGUGCUGCUGUCUUAGCUGGGUCUUCUACAUAUCUCCAGAUAUGUGCAAAAGUCUAAAGGAAAGUUAAUGGACUUCAUUAUUUUUGGUCUCCUACUCCAUUGGUCAAUUCACCUCAAGAGCAGCCAAUGUGAACCAUCAGUAGCAUAGCACAAGGUGGUGGGAAGCAGUGCACUUCUUGUGAUGGUACUCAUCUCAUGUAUAUUGUCACCUCAUUUUUACUGCCAAUGGCAGCCAUGUUGUGCUGGCACAGCACUUUUAUCAAUAUAUGCAUCAGCACCUCGUUUCUUACUGAGAAAAUAAUCCCUGAGGGCAAGAUUUUUCAAAUCAUUUAAAAAACAACAACACCAUUAUAGUUGUCGCCAGCUUUUUCUAGAAAUCUGGUGAACUGACCAGACAUCUCCAUUCAGGCAGCUGGCUGCAUUUGUCUGUGACUUCAGUGGUGGUGUCAGCAACAUUGCAGGUGAAGAGGAGCACUGAGUCCCAGUCAGAACUCUGCAGCUCAGACAUGCUGUAUUGCUGUUCAGCUCCUCAUAAUAACCUAGAUCCAGGUGGGCAUGUGUGACUAGACAAGUUUCUAGGGACUGUGGUGAGCGGAUGGAAUAAGCAAGAAACAUCCAGGAUGCAAGUGUGUAAUUAGCAGGAGAGAAGUAGGUGCUCAGUGGAUGCAUUUCAUGGUAGAAGUGGUAGGGCAAGUGGGAGUGACCCUCACCCUUUCAGCUCUGGGAAUAUUAAUGGAUGAAUGGGACAGAAUGAGGCAAGCUUGCAGGUCUGUUCUCUAAACAGUUACUGUAUUUUUCGCUCUAUAAGACGCACCAGACCAUAAGACGCACCUAGUUUUUGGAGAAGGAAAACAGGAAAAAAAAUAUUCUGAAUCCCAGAAGCCAGAACAGCAAGAGGGAUCACUGCGCAGUGAUCCCUCUUGUUGUUCUGGCUUCUGGAAUAGCUGCACAGCCUGCAUUCGCUCCCUUACUUUUUAGGAGGGAAAAAGUGUGUCUUAUAGAGCAAAAAAUACAGUAUGUAUCGAAACCUGUGAACGUAGCCUACUACAUAUCUACAAGUUGUAUGUGCAUUUUGCAGGACUGGGCAAAUGGAUCUUGGAUUCUCAAUGGAUCUUGGAUCUCCGAGUUUGUUUUUUAAAGUGUAGAUUCUGCAAGUCCGAAGUCCGUCUGCCCUUGAUGUUACCUGCUCCACCCCUCCCACAACUAUUCUUAAGACUUUUCAGGGAAUUGCUUUAGCAUCCGAGCAUAAGGCUUUUAUUUAAACUGGACGCACUUGGACUGGAAAAGGAACUGUUCCAAAACGUUUAGGUUCAAAUUUGAAUUAGCUGUUAACCUUCAAUGACUCCGUCUUCAAUUUAUACGGAAAGAGUUUGCCAGCAAUACCAUCUUCUCUAACCUUUUGUGCUGCUCUUUGAGGCAAUUCUGUGGCAAAAGGCUUCUUGAAGUCCAAGUAGAUUAUGUCUGUUGCUUCAUUUCUGUCAGUUGUCAUUGUCACUUCCUUGAAGAAGUUAAUCAGAUUUGUUCAGCUUGACCUCCACUUUAAAUGGCUUUGACCUGUCUAAGUCUGUACCUGUUAAAAUGUUCUCAAGUUUUGUCCUUACCCAGUGAUUCUGAAACCUUCUUCCGUACUUUGAUCCCAUUCUAAAUAUAGAUGUCAUGUAUGCUACCUUCAUGUUCCUAGCCUAUUACGCUUAUUAUCAUAUCAGCAGGGAAUUAAAUGUCUCUGCCAUUGUUUCCUUCAUUUCAUAUUUUCAUAUUAAGGAAACAAGAACAUUAGUCUUUCAACAUGUCAUUGUUGCUGCUGUUAUUUAUUAAAUUUGUAUACCGCCCUUCAUCCAAUGAUCCCAAGCUAAUUCACAACAGAAAAAUGCAAAAUGAAAAUACAAAAUAGAUUUUUAAAAAACCCCAAUAACCCUCACCAUACUCUCUUUUUUUUCCUUCCAACUUCAACACUUUUUCAUUUUCCUCUGAAGGUGCUUCUCUCGUGUACUCUUUUUACCCAUGUUUCCACUGCCUUUAAAUGAAAACAAAUUGAAGCCAUACCUCACCAACAUUUAUUGAUGUUCAUAUAUAUGCUGCAGUAUCUUCAGCUAUUGCAAAUGGCUUUUCCCCUUGGAUCUUGGAAGUAUUUGAAGCAAUCUAGGAUAAUUGCUUCAGUCACCAGUGGAUACAAUCAUUGUUUGUUGUUUUUCCAAAUAUGUUUAGAAACCAUUAUACUUUUUCUUAGAUAAAAUAAUAAGAGUGAAACCUUAUGCUGGAUUUAAACUUGUUGGAGAGUGUUAUAAUGCAGACUACUAGCUCCCUGUACCUAGACACCUUGAAGUUACCCUGUUGUAUUGGCAAGCUAACCCACCCAUCAGCAAAGGGGCCAUAAAUGCUUGGGAAUAUGUCAGGGGAAGAGUGGCAUUUAGUCAGUUCUGAAGCUUUCGAAAACAUCAGUGGAGAUUCAGCAAAAAAAGGUCCCACAAUACAGAAUACCAUAAUAGCAGGGCCAGAUUUAGCUUUGAUUAGGCCCUAAGCUACUGAAGGUAAUGGGGCUCUUUAUAUGUCCAGCUCUCCUUUGGGUCAACAGCAAAUUGUUGCUGUUUUUUGUGUUGGGUAUAUGCUAUAGGGUAAUCUAUGGACCUAAUAGGUAUCUAAAGCCAUUUUCACAUAACAAAAUAUGUAUUUUAUCAAAGCUGCUGUAUGUAUGUUUUAUUUUAUUUAUUUUUUAUCUUAUAUUUUGGAAAUGAACAUCCAGGUUUUUCCCCCUUUAAUUUUUUUGGGGGCCCCCAAGAGAGUGGGGCCCUAAGCUAUAGCUUGUUUAGCUUAUACAUAAAUCCGGCACUGCAUAAUAGACAAAAGCCAGGGUAAAGAGGUGUUUCUUCAGCUAUGCAAUGGCUAGAGGAACCACUGUCGGGAGGGAGUUCCAUGAGUUAGGGGCACCAGAGAAAGCCCUCUCCUAGGCUACUAUCCCUUGCAUUUCUGUGGGUGGUGAAACUACUCGCAUAGUGGUUCCUUCCUUCACACUCUUAUGCAAUAAAUGGAGUGAAGCAACUUGCUUAGUUUGCAUGGGAGAAGGAAGAAAUAAAAGAGAUGAAGGCAGAAGGAGGAGCAAAAGAGGGUUCUAAAUGCUAAUCCCUGUGGGUCAUAAAGCUUUUACUCUCCACCUUCUAUUCCCCCUCUCCACAACAUUUCCUUCUCUCCUCACAGGAAUGAGUGAUUAUUCGUAAGAGGGAAAGGAACAUGCAUGUAGGGCAAGAUUUAGGUAUGUUGGAGUGGGGCCUGAAAACCACUCCACACACCCCUCAGGUUUUGUUCUCUGCCUCCAUAGGAGCUAAAGUUCAAUUUAGUUCCUUUGGGAGGAGGAAAAAGCUCAAAAAAGGCUCAAAAAAUAGAUUCUUAAUGUGUAAGACAUAAGAAGGGAACAGUGAAAGUUCAUCAGUUUGCCAGAGGUCAGUUAUGAAGUCAGUUGUGCAUUACUACCUUUUAGCUAAGUCAUAAGUUUGACACAGAGAAAUGUCAUGAUGAUGCAGGUGAUGAACAUUUUUGGGUUCAGUCAUAAUGAUAUAGAGCACUUGGAGCUGCUAAGCACUUAAGCCAGUGCUUAGCUUUAAGCAUCUGAACAAUCUUGCUCAUUAAAUGGAUCUAAUCAUGUGUUCUGUGCUCCCUCUACUGGUUUAGCGGCAGGUGACUUGUCUGACAAAUGCCCAGAGCUGGGUUGAUGAAGUUAUUGUAGAGCAAUGCUGGUGCUAAGACCAAAGUGUUAAAAUAGCACAUGAAUAUUCAGACCUGUAACUUAUAUGUCCAAAUACUCUCAGGAGUUAAUAAGCUGCUCCUUAGGCUGUCUUCCUCCAAUUGUCCCAUAAACUUAUCCAUGCUAUACUAAGGACUUAGUGAUUUUGUUGUAUUGGGAUAUGUUUUUAUUGCUUGUAUUUUUAACCUGGUUUCUAAAUAAAAGGUAAUACGCUGUGAAAUAUACAAUGUAAAUUAAUGCACCUAUGAAAAAGAGAAUGAAAGCUAUAUUUUUGGCUUUGGAAGACAUUGGUUGGAAACUGUGAUAUGGCUGUUUUAUUCUGAUAACUUUUAGUAAAAAAGGGGGGGGGGCUGACAGAAAGGCUGAUAUAAAAUCCCCAAAUCUUCUAUGUAUAUGUCAAGAGGGAAUACUUAAAAACUUUAAAAUAAGAGCUAUGACAGAAAAGGUUUGCUGGAAACCUGCUUGGGACAAAUAAAAUUCUUGUUCUCUCCCCCCCCCCCAAAUAAAGUUAUAGAACAAUGAUAGUCUAAUCAAUAGCCGAGAGUAAUGUUGCAAAUGUUACAGGAAUUAAACCAGUAUAAAGCCAGCGGCAUUUAGGGCUGGAGAACAAGGCCCAUUAAUCUUUUCCUUUUGAUGGCUUUCCCAAGAGGUUGCAAAAUGUACAGCAGGAAAGUUCGUGCAAGGCGUUUGCAGAAAGAACAUAAGCGAAGUCUUCUGAACUUGUUGUGAGCACUUCUGAACAGCAGAACAUGCUGACAAGAUGCAAUGUGACCCCUCAUCAUCAGGAGGCUGUAACUCUCCCAAGUUCAUUUAAACAGCAGCAUUUUAUUGCAGCUAGGUGUUAUGCACUAUACAAAAACAGUUUUAAUUUUAUUUCAGACUCUCUUGCCAUUCUAUUAUUUCCCUCUCUAAAUAACUUUACAUUGCUCUAGGGAUGAUACUCAGACCUUAAUGGUGAAAGGGAUGUUAUAAGGAUCCAAACAAAUCAUUUGGUUGUUAGAAAUGAUAAUUAGAUUGCCCUCUAAAUUCUUCUUCUUCUUCAAGAAAUCCUAGGAAAUAAUGCAUUCCAUCUUUAGAAAUCAGCCAAGGAAUAAUUCAAAAAUUGAACCACAUAAAUUAUUAACUUGGUUCAAUUUUAGAAGAGAAAAAUAGACUCAGGGUACAUAUUCAGCUGUAGUCUGUGAAAAUUAAACCUGCAGCUCUAUUUAUUUUUAAUGGAACUUUUGUGCUAAAUUAUUCUUGAUAGGUCACAUUGAAAACUUUGUACUUGGUGUUUGUGUGUGAUUUCCUCCUUGAGAUUAUGGCAUAAUACAUGUAUCUUAGGCCAACAAUUAAUAUUUAUUUAGGCUUUGUUUAUGCUGCAAAAUUGUGAGAGCAGUUUGGGGUUUUCAACUUAGAUAACAAUCCCUGUACAUGUGCAGCAGAAAUUCAAGAACAGUUCAGCCACAUACUGUUGAGCACCACAGCAGUUUAUUCACGGGCUACUCGAUCAAAAUGCCAAGAUCAAAAAUGCCCACUAUUGUUUUUAACAUUUGCUUAUAGAUAUAAAAGGCUAAAGCCUUCAUGUUUUUAUUUCAUUUAUUUAUUUAUUCCACAACAUUCAUAUACUUCUGAAUUGCAAGAAAACUGCAAAGCGGGCUGCAUAAAGAAUAAAGCAAUUAAUAUCAGUGGUAAAAAAAGAGUUUUAGACAGUAUUUAAAACAUUAAAAAAUUAAUUUAAAUCAACAAUAAACUACCGUAUUUUUUGCCCUAUAGGACGCACUUUUUCCCCUCCAUAAAUGAAGGGGAAAUGUGUGUGCGUCCUAUGGGGCGAAUGCAGGCUUUCGCUCCCAUGGCUUGCGGAGAGUUGCCUGUUCUGGGGGCUGGGGUCGGGGGAAGCUCGGGCUUCCCCCACCCCAGCCCCGUGCCUGGGGAGGAAAAUAAUUCCCCCCCCUUUAUUUCCCCCCCAAAAAACUAGGUGCGCCAUAUGGGACAGUGCGUCCUAUAGGGCGACAAAUACGGUAAAACUAGCUUAAAAGAUGUUGCACUUUCUACAUGCCUAGAGAGGCUUGCCUAGACUUGCCUUGCUGGGGUGGUGGUGGUGGAUUUUGACCUCAUAGAGGGCACCAUACUACCCAAGUCUGCCCUUGUUAAGUGUGUGUAUUCAUGCAUUGUGUGUGUUUGUAUGUGCUAUACGUAUACAUGUGGAUAUGUCGGGGGGAGUCAUUCCUACUUUGGCUAUGCACACUAUUGUCUUGGCCACACCCACCAUUUCCAUGCAGAUGCUGGGGAGUUGGUCAAUAGUGAAUGCAGCCCUUGAGGCAAGAAAGUUUUCCCACCAUGACAACUAUCUAAAAUUCCCCUACCAUAAACAUAAUAUUUUCUGUUAUAGAAUUGUAGAGUUGGAAAGGAUCCAAAGGGUCAUCUAGUUUAACCCCUUGCAAUGCAGGAGUCACAGCUAAACCCUAACCUUGUGGCACUCAAAUCAGAAGCGUUAACACUCAAAUCGUCAGUAUAAUACUCAAAACAGAUGUGUGGCACUCAAAACGGAAGUAUGGCACCCAAAACAGAGCAAGUUUGGCUUCUGAAAAAAGUUCUCAAACCAGAACACUUACUUCCAGGUUUGCAGUGUUUGGGUUCCAAGUUGUUUGAGUACCAAGGCAUUUGAGAACCAAGAUACUACUGUAAAGCAGAAUGGCACUGAAUUAACAAGUAAAAUAAGAAAACUAAAACUAAAAAUUAAAAAUAUGUUGAGAAUUCAUGAUUGAGACAUACCUGUGUAGUAAAUAAUAUACAAAAGUAAGCAGUAUAUAAAUGGCUUAAAGCAGGGGUGUAUCUACAAUAAUAAAGGUGAGACAACAACUAGCCUACUCACACAUACAUAGUUGAUAACCGCCAGUCCCACUAAUACAAAAAGUCUCUAUAAAAACUUACGUGUCUGAUCAGCAUGUUUCCAUCAAGAGGAACAUAGAAAGAGGAUGAGACCUAUUCUGAUGGCUGUUGGCAAAUUAAGAUACAAGUAUUUUCCAACAGAGAUUUAGUCAAUCAUAUGAAAGCUGCUUAUGGUCAUCUUCUUGCUUGAAAAUAUUGUGGAGGCCUUAGAAAUACCUUUGAAAACAAAUCUAAAUUGGCAACUAAGUUGAUAUGAACGAUCACCAAAAUUACUCAGCUGUGGGAGAUGUCCCUGCAUUUUAAAACUAGGUUACACAGGCCUCUUUAUGUUAAAACUCACAGAAAUAGUAUCUGGGAGAGAUUAGAGUAUAAUCAAAGCUAACGUGUUACAUGGGCACCAAUGGUUAACUAUUUGGUGGGUUCCCAUCUUUCUGAGACUUUUCUUGGGGUCAGGGAAAUGAUUUUUUUAUCUAUUAGAGAAGUAGUAGAAAAAAACUAAUUACAAAUUUGGUUGUAGCCAAUUGCACUCACUCAUUUUGUAGCUGCAAAAUCAACCACAGCUCAGGCUGCUUGACAGGUGUUAAAGAUCAGCAGCUGUAGAAACAGACUGAUAGCUACAUUAAAGUUCCACACCUGCAGGAGAAGAAUCAUUCAUUCAUUCAUUCAUCCUGGGAACUUUGUCCUUUAGCUAUAAGACAAGGUUUUCUUUUGGUAAAUGUGUUGCUCUACUGUUUCUAAGUAAACAGUGAUAGUAAUUAAAGCUGUUAUGUCUCUUCUAGGCUAAGUGAACAUCAGUAAUAAAGUUGGGAGGAAAUACAACCCACACUUUAAUUGGCCAGAUUUGUAAUUUUUCUACUGUAGAGGAUGAAAUGUUGGUGAAUAAAGAAAGAGGCAGUAAAUUCUUCUUAUUGCACAGGAAAUUGCUUUAGCACUUAGUUUUAAAUGCAAUUCAAAGUGACAUGUUAUUAAGAAAAAGAGCUCAUGACAAGAAAAGUUUAUUCCAGUAAGACAUAAUGGAACUUUACUGAAUUUUAUUAUAUGAGUUUGCUGAACUAUCUGUAAUGCAUAAAAUAAUUGCAGAGAACAUGGGCAUUAGUGGAGUAGGUUAAGCAAUGUAUAGGAUGAAUCUGAACUGGUUGUUUUGAUAAAAUGUACCAUCGUCUAGGCCAGUGGAAGUGAUGAUAUUCCAGCUGAACUAUUUAAAGUUUUAAAAGAUGAUGCUGUUAAGGUGCUACACUCAAUAUGCCAGCAAAUUUGGAAAACUCAGCAGUGGCCAGAGGACUGGAGAAGAUCAGUCUACAUCCCAAUCCCAAAGAAGGGCAGUGCCAAAGAAUGCUCCAACUACCGCACAAUUGCACUCAUUCCACACACUAGCAAGGUUAUGCUAAAAAUUCUACAAGGCAGGCUUAAGCAGUAUGUGGACCGAGAACUCCCAGAAGUGCAAGCUGGAUUUCGAAGGGGCAGAGGAACCAGACACCAAAUUGCAAACAUGCGCUGGAUUAUGGAGAAAGCUAGAGAGUUCCAGAAAGACAUCUACUUCUGCUUCAUGGACUAUGCAAAAGCCUUUGACUGUGUCGACCACAGCAAACUAUGGCAAGUUCUUAAAGAAAUGGGAGUGCCUGAUCACCUCAUCUGUCUCCUGAGAAAUCUCUAUGUGGGACAAGAAGCUACAGUUAGAACUGGAUAUGGAACAACUGAUUGGUUCAAAAUUGGGAAAGGAGUACAGCAAGGCUGUAUAUUGUCUCCCUGCUUAUUUAACUUAUAUGCAGAAUUCAUCAUGCGAAAGGCUGGGCUGGAUGAAUCCCAAGCCGGAAUUAAGAUCGCCAGAAGAAAUAUCAACAACCUCAGAUAUGCAGAUGACACAACCUUGAUGGCAGAAAGUGAGGAGGAAUUAAAGAACCCUUUAAUGAGGGUGAAAGAGGAGAGCGCAAAAUAUGGUCUGAAUCUCAACAUCAAAAAAAUGAAGAUCAUGGCCACUGGGCCUAUCACCUCCUGGCAAAUAGAAGGGGAAGAAAUGGAGGCAGUAAGAGAUUUUACUUUCUUGGGCUCCAUGAUCAGUGCAGAUGGUGACAGCAGCCACGAAAUCAAAAGACGCCUGCUCCUUGGGAGAAAGGCGAUGGCAAACCUAGAAAGCGUCUUAAAAAGCAGAGACAUCACCUUGCCAACAGAGGUCCAUAUAGUUAAAGCCAUGGUUUUCCCAGUAGUGAUGUAUGGACGUGAGAGCUGGACCAUCAAGAAGGCUGAUCGCCGAAGAAUUGAUGCUUUUGAAUUAUGGUGCUGGAGGAGACUCUUGAGAGUCCCAUGGACUGCAAGAAGAUCAAACGUAUCCAUUCUUAAGGAAAUCAGCCCUCAGUGCUCACUGGAAGGACAGAUCGUGAAGCUGAGGCUCCAAUACUUUGGCCACCUCAUGAGAAGAGAAGACUCCCUGGAAAAGACCCUGAUGUUGGGAAAGAUGGAGGGCACAAGGAGAAGGGGACGACAGAGGACGAAAUGGUUGGACAGUGUUCUCGAAGCUACAAACAUGAGUCUGUCCAAACUGCAGUGGAAGACAGGAGUGCCUGGCGUGCUCUGGUCCAUGGAGUCACGAAGAGUCGGACACGACUAAACGACUAAACAACAACAACAACCAUCGUCUAGAUCAUGAGAUAGUCAUAACAAGAAAAAAUGGGAAUUCCAUAGGAUCUUCCAGGCACAUACAGAGACCUUGUCCCAGUUACAGACAGUAAAAGAGCUCAUGUAUUUUUUUGCACUUACUUAGGAGUAUGCUGUUCCCUAUUUCCCUUAUAUUGCAGCAGUGGCACAAGCAAUUCCCUACUCCUUUCACAGCAGCGACAUAAGCAAAAGUACCAAAUUCUCAGGCCAAACUAGGCAAGAUACCAUUUGUGAAAUUAACAAUUAUGUGGAUUACUGUUUUAGAAGUAAAUAAUUAAAAGCAAAUAGUAAACAUGAAGACCACAAUCCAGAUUGAGGACCUCAGCAGAAAUUAUGGGGGCUGUAGCACUGUUCCCUCAUAUGAAUGGGAUUUUCCCCUCAAUAGAAAGCACCAAAGGGUAUCUGGAGUCAAUACCACUGCAAUUUAAAGUCCACCCUGGUCCCACCAGUGUCCGAAUCCAGAACUUCUCCCAUGCCUGCUAUUCACUUUCUAAAAGGCACCCAUGCAUUCUGUGAAUGACACCUAAUUUGGCCUUCACUGCGCUAUGCCUACUGAUAUAGAUCCCACUAAAUAUUAUUUGCCAAGUGCAAAAUUGUCCUUUUGCUAGGGAGACAAUCUUAGAAUUAAGUAAAAGGAGCAAUCAGAUGCUUUUCCAUUCUCUCCAGCUCCAUAAGACUCAUGUUAAGCAUAUAUGCUCAUCAGAAACUGGAAUGUUUGCACUGUGAAUAUUGCUGCUCCAGAACUGCAUCAGAUCAUAACAGUGGAAAUAGUGGAUAAGAUGUUUCCUUAUGUCAGCUUUCAGAAUCUACCACUAGAUCUUAUCAACUUCUUUUCUAAGCUUAAGCAUUUGAUUAGGCUGCUAUAAGCAUAUGGUUUUAAUAGUACUAUGGUUCUGACCCUGAUCAUGAUAACCAGCUGAACUAUUAUGAUAGCCUUUCAUUUAAAGAAGUGUACCGCACUGUAGUCUAAACCACAGAGCCUCUUGGGCUUGCCGAUCAGAAGGUCGGCGGUUCGAACCCACGCGACGGGGUGAGCUCCCGUUGCUCGGUCCCUGCUCCUGCCAACCUAGCAGUUCAAAAGCAUGUCAAAGUGCAAGUAGAUAAAUAGGUACCGCUCCAGUGGGAAGGCAAACAGCGUUUCCAUGCGCUGCUCUGGUUCACCAGAAGAGGCUUAGUCAUGCUGGCCACAUGACCCGGAAGCUGUCUGCGGACAAACGCCGGCUCCCUCAGCCAGUAAAGCACGAUGAGCGUCGCAACUGCAGAGUCGUCCACGACUGAACUUAAUGGUCCUUUACCUUUACCAAUAAAUUAUUAUUAUUUAAAUAUUAUUAUUGAGAUUUUUUUACAAUAUAUUACAGAUAGCAUUAACAAUAGGCACAUCACUUUCAAAGUGUGGGAAAAGAAAAGAUACUUUAUCCACCACACACACACAGCAAAAAACAUGUCAUUCAAGAAGCAAAAGGAAAAAUGUCCCUCCAGAAAGAAGAGGUCAAUGCUAGUGGUCUACGAUACUGACCACCCACAGAAGCAAAUCAAUGGGGCCAGACAUUAACAAAUGCAUCUGAAUGUGGGAUCACCUCUAGCUUUCCUGCACUCCUAUAUUAACUUUUCAUCUAAGUCUAAUUGCCGUAGUCUAUUAUACCAGCUUCAAAGAGAAACGUGUUAAGGACCCUUCUAGCUUGGUGCCACUUCCACGUGUGCUGCCUUGAAUUAUUCUUUAAAAAUGCUUUCCAAAUGCAUAGGCAGAGUAAGGCAGGUGCCUCAGGAAGCAAUUACUGGGAGGUGUGGAGUGGUGCCCCUAAAUUAGCCUGCUGUUCUCUGUUGCAACAAUGGACACCAGCAGUAUUCAUAUAAGGUUCAGCUUCUAGUUUUGUCUACUUAAUGUAUAUGAAUGGAAUGAAGAAGAACACCAUCUUGCCUUUUGCCUCAGGCAGCAAAAUGUCUUGAGCCGGCCCUGUGCAUAGGACAACCAGAUUUCUUUAAGCUUCAGUGUCUUUUGCAGCUUUAUGUGUGUGGUAAAUCCUAGGUCAAAUAAAAAACGCCACUGAAUUCAAUAUGGCUAGUAUUUUACACUUGGGAUACAGUCCCAUGGACACUGAGUAGGGAGGGUAAUUCACUGGACACAGUGGCAGUUACUUCUGAGGAAACAUGCAUAGGAUGGCACUGCUGGAGCCUGUGAUUCACCUUAACUGAGCUCAACUUUGUUCUCUGUGCAUAUGCAGCUGGAAAAUAAUAAAACAAGCUUUUAAAAGUCCUAGCUUUAAUUUUUUUCAUUCAUCUUGAUAUACUGAAUUACAAGAAGGAGGGUGUCUUUCAAGAUAAUCACAUUCUGAAGUGCAUUAGAAAAUAUUUCAUGUGUCUCAGCUGACAUGAUUUAUAGAACUAUUGGAUUUAUAGCCUUCUGCUACUGUUUUAUUUGCAAGAUUUGUGGACAAUGAAGGAAACAAUUCUUCCUUUAUAGAAAGAAUUAUACAUGUAGGGAAAGGGUAAAAGUUGAAAUGUCCUGGGAAUAUUGAUACUUACAUUUAUGAUAUAAUUAAAGAAUACUAAAAAUUGCUCAACAGAGUUAACUGAUGAGGUCAAGAAUAAUAAAUUAGAUACUGAUCUUAAUAAUACCUCCUCCUUUGUUUUCCUUUCCGCAGCAAGUUGACAGGCUUUGCAAGCCAUAAUAAAUUUGAGUGCUUAAAGCUUCCUCAACAGCCAUCACAUCCUGAUGUAACGCAUAGCUUUUGUUUUCUUGUAUGCAUGGUUUAUCCUUCUUUAUGCCCCGUUGUUGUUUUAGAAAUACAAUCUAAACUUAUUUAAUUAUAUAUUUUAGAUUGCAUCUUCCAAAUGUAAAAAUGUAAAAAAGUUCCUCAGCUUUAGGGGGGGAAAUAAGGAAAGGAAACAAUAGUUUUAGUGGUAUGCUCACAGCUCUGUGUUGAAUUCAAGCACAGUGAUUUAACUGUGUUGUUUUUCCUUAAGUGCAGUUCAUCCUCCCCAUCCCUCUCUUCCCUUGGAAUAUGGGAAAACUUGUGGCUGCCUAUGUUUAGGAUCCUGUAUAUACAAAUUAAGCCCCCAGGAUAGCCAACGUGGUACUCUCUAGAUGUUGUCAGACUACAGCUCCCAUCAGCACCAGUCAACGUGGCCAAUGAUGAGGGAUGGUUGAAGGUUACUGACAGUGACAUGGGAGCAGGCUUGGUAUUAUUACCAAAGUGACAAGCAAAGAGGUCAUUAGGAUGCAGUUCUCAUGCCACUGCACCAAAGUGUGAAUUGCCCCUGCACUUAAAAGUUUACUGAAGUCAAGGCCCUCAGAUUGAGGACGAAAGGUAAAAGAUAAAGGUAAAGAACUUGGGGACCGUUAAGUCCAGUCAAAGGCGACAAUGAGAUGAGACGCUCAUCUUGCUAUUCAGGCUGAGGGAGCCAGUGUUUGUCCACAUACAGCUUUCCGGGUCAUGUGGCCAGCAUGACUAAACCGCUUUUGGCACAAUGGGACACCAUGAUGAGUGCCAGAGCAUACGGAAACAUCGUUUACCUUCCCACCGGAGUGGUACCUAUUUAUCUACUUGCACUGGCAUGCUUUCGAACUGCUAGGUUGGCAGAAGCUGGGACAAAGCAAUGGAGAGCUCACCCCGUCGCGCGGAUUUGAACUGCUGACCUUCUGAUCAGCAAGCCCAAGAGGCUCAGUGGUUUAGACCACAGCACCACCCACGUCCCUUUUGGGAAUGAAAACCUGUAUUCCAGAAUGCAAUGUGAUACCUUCAUAGGAAUACACUGCUACAGCCAUUGGAAAGGGCAAGGGAAUAAAAUACCAAUAGUUCAUAGUGCAUAACAGUUAGAACCAUAAGAUGUUUUACCACUCACUUCAACAGAAUGCAGCCACAGACGGUUGCCUUCAUCCUUUGAAAGAUGUUCAAAUAAAAUGUAUGUACUGAGUGCUAUAUCAAUAAUAAAAAAAAUACAAAACAUAGCAUUAUGUCAGCAAUCCAAGGACAUUAUAUUGGAGUUCUAAUAAAAUACUCUAUGCAAGGCUGUAAAACUGCACAUCUUUGUAUUUUCUGCGACCCACUCAAAAAGCCUUUCAAGUGAGAUGGUGAAAGGUGGUUUGCGUACUAAAGGCCUGAUCUGUUUAUGCAAGUGCAAAUCUAAAGAGUUCUGAAAUAGGGGUCUUCAGUUCAGUGAUACAAUGAACAUAAUUGUUGUUUGUAACAAUAGAGUUUUGUAUUGGAAAACACCAGUUAUCCAACAGAUGUUGUCUUCAUUUUUAGCUUUACAGCUGCUUCACAAUCCUUUUGUGCAAGGAUAAGAACAGGUGGGAGACCCAGCUGGACAGCAUCAUCUUCUUACACUGCAGCGUCAGUAAUAAAAAAAAGAGCUGAGCCAACAAGUUCACCUUUUAAAAACAUUUAUAGAGACAAUAGCACUCCUCCUUUCUUUUGCUUUCAAAAGAAAACACACUUUUUAAUGAGUUGGACAAAGCCCACUUCCUCCAGAGUCCCAGUUGUCCUCAGAGCCUUAUGGCAACUGUCCUCUCUGUGUGGUUUUAAGCCAGAUUAAGCACUUACAGUAAAGAUUCAUUUAAUAUACAUAUUUCCCAAAAAGGAAAAUGGAAAAUGCCAACCACUAUUAAUGUAAUAGUGCAUUAAUCGUUCACAAAGGGAUUGGAAAGUAUCGGUAAAUAACUCAGAGCAUGGGCUGCUUUAUGACAAAUUAUUUUGUUCCCUACAACUAUAUACACUGUAUAUGAUGUGUUGCUUUUGGAUAUCAUCAGCAUUCAUAGCUAGGAUCUUGCUAUCAUUCAUCAGUGGAAAAGCCAUAACACUGAGCCCACAAUAAAGAUUUAUCUGACAGUAUAUAUUUCCUCUGGCUUCAUUUCCACUGACAACAAUGUAUGCUUGGCUUAGGUUACAUUUCACAUAAAAUAUCCAUAUCCAUAUUUGGGCGAGGUAGUAGUUUGAUAAUGUUACCGAAAUGUAAAUGUAAAGAAAAAGAAAAAAAUAGGAAUAUGCAUCCACAUAUAUAUAUAUAUGGUUGGGUUCCAACUUAACCAUAAUUUCAGUAGAGCCACUAAAAUUAAAUCAAUGGGACUUGUAAGUCAUGAUUAAUUUAAGUUCCAUUUAUUUCAGUGAGUGUACUCUAAGCAUGACCAAGUUUAGAUCAAACCCAUUUACCCAUUAUUUUCUAAAUGUAGCCAAAAUAGUGUUAAUUGUUACCCAUGUUCUAAAACUGUAGGGAUAGUGCUGCUGGCUUUAUUUUGUCUGUUUAGAUUAUUAUUAUUAUUAUUUAUUAAUUAAAUUUCAAUACUGCCCUUCACCCAAAGAUCACAGGGCUGAUCACAAUAUAAAAAACACAAAAAAUAGAUCUCAUAAUAACAAACAAAAACAAUAUCUCCCCGCCCACGCACAGUUUAAAGGCCAUGGAUUGUUUAAUCAGCCAAAAGGCCUGGAAGAAGAUGAAUGUUUUUGUCUGGUGCCUAAAGAUGUACCGUGCAGGCGCCAGACCAACCUCCCUGGAGAAGGCAUUCCACAAGCAGGGAGCCACUGCAGAAAAGGCCCCGUUCUCGUGUUGCCACCUUUGACAACUUCUCAGUCACGUUGUGAAUCUUUGCACCAAGAAGACAGCACACCUUCUGGGACAUCUUGUUACCUCUACACACUUCUGCCUCUGUCCUCCUCAGUAGGAAAUUCAGAGGUCUGGGUGAAGACAUGAUGCCCCCAGUGCUAGACUUCUUAUCAGUUAUUUGGGAGGCUUAAUAAGGAAUCCUAGUGGUUCACACACAGCUGGGGGGAAGCAUGUAAUAAAAGAGUUCUGUUCAUUUUCUUCCCCUCACUUUGUAUAAUAUUCAUCACCUUAGAUCACACAGAACAUUCAAAAACCUUUUUUUUUAAAAACCACACCUUGCAAUGUGCAUCUCAUGUUUUAUUUAUGGUCUAUUUUUAUUCAAAGCUGUCCUCUUUUCCAGUGAAGACUGCUCACUUAUAACAGCUUAGAUAUUAUUAUUACUUUUAAAAAAGUUCCAUUUGCCUUUACUUAUCCUUUGGCACUGUUAUUUGGGAGAGGGGGAGCAAUUGUUUUUUAAUAUGGUUUGUCAGGUUGCUUUUGUAUUGUUUUUGCCACUUGAUACCAAGUACGUCCAUUUGUUGAAAGUUCAUCCUUUUUUUUUUUAAUUCUAAAUAAAAGACAUAACAGGAGUUUGAUUUUUACAAAGCCCCUUUUUUGCUACAUAGCCACAUAUGUAGCCACAUUAGAAGCUGGGACCCCUAAUCCAAACUGAAUAAGAGGUUUAAAACUGAAGUGAUACUUUACUGGCUUACUUCACUGACAGUAUGUUUAGAAAUUGCAACAAUUGCCUUAGUGAGAAUAAUUUAUUGUAAUUGGAAGGCAUGGGGUUUGCUUAUGUCUGGAAUAAUGCUACUGAGCAUGAGUCAUCUACACUUCAGAAGAAUGCAAAGAGGUAAAAAUCAAAUUUUGUUUGACACCUGGAUAAGUGCCUUAAGGCUAUAAAACUGAUGGCCUUUGAUUGGAACGGCAUCAGUAAAAACUGUUGCCGACUGCGCUGGGAAGAACAGGUUGAAUAUGACUAUCUGAGAUAUUCCUAGAAUAUGGAAGGAAUAAAUAGAUGUCAAAGCGCUUGACAGGUGCUUCAAAGAGAUAGCUGUAAUUAUUUCAGUCUCAAGGACACUUAACAUAACAGGAAGCAUUUUGGUCAAUCUGUUAACACUGACAAUUUAUAAAGUAGUUUUCAUUUUUCUUAGAGAACUCAGUGCUAAAAAACCACAUAGAAAUCAGGUGGCCAAGCUUCAGGCUGUUUUAAAAUAUUUAAUUGUGAGCUGCGCAGUUUAGGACUUUGGAUUUGUGCAGACUGGGGGGUGGCGGGGGCUGUACUCCAGAAGAAGCCAGCACAUUUCUUGCCUUAAACAUUACAUUCCCUUGUGCAUGCAUGUGAGAUACAGUAUAUCAAUAGCUGUACAAAUACUACAGACAACAGUACAUGGCUUAUCACUUCUAAGCUACACUCUUCUGCUCUGAUAUGAGCAACUAGAUUUCCACUGAAGCUGUAUCUACAUGAUGAGAAUAAUUAGCUGUUUUAGUCCACCUUUCCCCCUGACACUCUGCAUCAGAAGCAGCUGAUGCAAUGAGCCUGAAUCACUCUCCCAGUAAUGGUAUUGGUAUUGUUCCAGCUUGGUAUUGUUCUGAAACAGUGGUACUCAGGUUUUUGUUAUACACAAGUAUAAAAACGGUUAAGAAUUGGAAAACUUAGAGGCGUCUAAACUUGACCCCCCUGCAUGAUGCUAUAAUCAUCAGGAUCAUAUUUGAUCCACCAUAUUUGAUCCACCAGGCCUAUGAAUCCAGCUCUCGGUGUUCUCUGGGAGCCAUAGCCCUCUUACUGACUAACUGUUCUCUCAUUGUCCAGGCAGGUAAAGCAGAAUGCUCUGCUUUGCCACUGGCCACCUCCGAUUUUUAAAAGUCUUCCAACUCAAUCUUAAUCAGAGUUCGCCAUUCAGACAAUACCAGCUGAAAGACUUGUGUGUUCAAUUUCCUGCCACACAUAGAGAGAAAUAUCUGUGUCCUCUCUACCUCCCUGCCUCAUGUUUUCCUUUGCUUAUGCUAAAUCUUUGUUUAGCUGAAGACGUACUUCCCUUAGUGGUUGCUCACAAGCCCUUCCUUUUGUGGCUUCUCUUAGUGGCAGUAGGCUCACAUCACCAGUGAAAUGAACACCUUGCACAAAUAAGAAUGGGAGUCGAGUCUUACAGGAUGUGCUUCGGAUGUCUAGGUGAAAACAUGUGGCUUUUCCUACGCUGCUCGGAGGGCAGGAAAAUGCAGCAGUUUCAUUUUGAAACAUUGAAAUUAGACAAUAAAGACUCUUGAAAAAUGUACAUCUGGGGAACCGUUUUCAGCAUCUCAUAUUCACUGAGCAGCAUACAGGGCAUUUUCAUGUUAUUCCUAAUUGCUUAUUUUCUCCUAAUGCACUUCUUUCAUUUCAUGGUUUUUUUUAAUGCAUUCAUGUCGUCACAAAGAAAGGCUUCCCAGUUUGUUUUGUAACUCGGUUUCUUUAAAAGUGUCCAGAGAAGACCCAGUUAAGCAAGGGUCUUCCCCUCAACAUACAUUUAUUUAUCUAUUUUAAAGUAUUUAUAUACCACUUACCAUGUUCAAAAAACACAGACCCAAUGGUGGCAGCUGUUGAGAAAUAAGCUCUUCCAGUAGGCUAAACCGCUGGGCAGGAUUAGAGAAGGGCUUUAUUCUCAUGAAAGCCAACAGAAAGUUCAAAAGCAAUAAAAAUGGUUCUUAAAAACCUUCACAGAGCCCUAGUUCCUAUGUGCUUAGAUCUUGGAUGGGAGGAAAUCUUCAUACUUCCUACCAUUACUGAGCAGUAUUGUGAACUUCAAGGGCUCUCAUACUAGCUUCCCAUAAAUUCUGUUUUCUACUGAAGUCUCCCAGCAUCAGUGUAUUUUCUUACCUUAUCACAGAUGUUUUUCCUGUGGGAAGGUGGGGAGGGGACAAGUUCCUCAGGUGCCAUCUGUGGGUUCUGUUUUGCUGACUCCUGCUCACUGAAACAAUAGAAUGUAAGAAGAUUCAUUACAUUACAUUAGAUAGUGAGAUUCAUGAUAAUGUUAUCUAAUCAGAUGUAGUAAGAUUCAUGAACGUUAACUAAUCAGAUAAUGAGUAGUUUACCAAAAAAAUUCAUUUAUUUCUUUAAAUGAUUUACUGUAUAUACCACCCUUUGUACAAGCCACAGGCUGUUUACAAUGAGGUCAGAUGAGAUAAAAAGAAUACAUAAGAUCCACAGACAACACAGACUUUAAAAUACACAACUUAUAAUAACUCACUUAAUAGUAGUUUACUAAUACCUGCUAUUUAACUUUCUACACAUUGAUUGGUUUUUUAUUUAAGACGUGGCAAAAUAUUUGGGUUACAAUGGCUUAUAGCCUAUGUAUUAAUGUUUAUAUGCAAACAACAUUAUAUAGUGUUGAAUUCAUAGUAGUUAUUGGAGAACUCAAAAAAAACCCUUGAACUUACAAUGCUUUCUCUUCUUGGCUUUCUGGGACAAAGAAGAACUGUCCAGCAGUAUAUAGGAAGUGGAUGUAAGCUCUUGUCUUCAUUUGUACAAAUAAAUCAAAUAAAUUAUACAACCAAAAGGUUAACCAAAUUAUUUAAACAUAUGAGUGAAAUCAUUUGGGACCAAUAAACCUAUCUCAGUGAUUAAACAAAAAAUUAGAAAGUUUUUUCGAAGGUUAUGUUGAGGUUUUUUAUUUUGAAUUUUUAAUCCAAAUAGGAAGAGAUGGAAGCAUCUCUUGUGUGUUGUACGUUUUCAUAUUAUAUUAUCUAAAAGAGGUGAAAACCUUUGCAAGUUAAGCAUAUUGCAGCUCCAAACAUUAGACAACUGGCAUUGACACUACACUGUGUAAGGAAUGUUACUAUGCAGCAAAAUGCAGGUAUGUAGGUGUGCUUGUGUAGGACAAUCAUGGCACAUCACCAUUUGAAAAGUAUAAAAGUCCAGAACCUUCUAGACAAUCAGUUGUCUUGAUUCAAAGGUAAUAGUGUACUACAAUACUUAGAUUAUACAUGAUAGAUUUUGGAGGGAGGUGGCAGCCUUGCUGUAGGGCAGGGUUGGAAAUGUGGCUCUCUAGUCUCUCUGUUGAGACUUUCAGACUCUUCAUAUGCCUCCCUCAAUCACUGGUCCUGCUCUUUGCCUUCUUCCUGCACUUUUACAUUUGCGUGAAUUCUGAUCAUGGUUCUUGCUUGCUAGAAUGGAGGGUGGGGUGUGUGUGAGAAAGAGACUUUUGUAAAGCAGGAUUGUAGCCUUCUAUAAGAGUCACACCAUGCCACAUUCAUUCUUUAUUGGUUGACCAUGUUACCUUCUCCCCUCUUGAACAGACAGGCAGCUUGGCUUUAACUCCUUUGUUUCCCAUAUUCAGUCUUUGCCAAGUUGUGUCCCUUCUCCCUUCACAACAUUGCAAGACAUUGGAAUACAGCCCUUUCCCAUCUUCCCUCUCGGCAAACACCCUUGACCUCUUCUGUGUACGCUACUCUCUGGUCUUCUGUUAUAUUACUUUGGUCCCCUCGCAUCUCUCCAGCACUCUGCUGCGAACAUCAUUUUUGCUCAUCUUGUUCCUCUGUUCACAUAACCCCCUGCCUUAAAGCCCUAUCCUGACUUCCUGUCUGUUCCUGGAUUCAACACAUGCUCUUCAUCUCAAAGACCUCCAGGCCUUAUCUCUCCACUCUUUUAUCCUAAUACAUCCCUGCCUGUGAACUUUGCUUUACCAUCCUUCCUUGUCCAAAGCUAUCCUGCCACAUUUUCUCCCUUUGCUGCAAAUCACUUACUUCAAAUCACUCAUGAAAACCCACCUUAUCCAUAAAGCAGAACCCGUAACUCCCACACCCUAUUAGAAACUGAAUGCAUAACUAAGUCUAAGCACGUCCCAUUAAAACCUUCACUUUGCUCUUUUAUUUAGUAUCCUGCCUCCGCUUCCUGUUUGCCUUGUGUUGUUUAGCUUGUAAGUACUUCAGGAUAUGGAACUGUUCUCUUGUAUUCUGUUGAACACCGAGCACACUCCCUGAUGGUGCUACACAAAUAAAUGAAUAGAUCAAUAGGACAACAUCAAGCUGUACUUCCAGCCACACUACAAUACUUUUUCCUUGUGGUCUUGGACAUAAAUUACAAAGUAAUAUUCUGGUUCUCUGCCACAAAAUUAUAGACCUAAAAAUCACUAAAAUUCAAGACCCAGUAAAUGAAACUAUUCUUUCUUGUCAUCCCUUAGGACCACAAUGUUAUUACAAAAAAAAAAAAAAAAAAGGGAAACAGAGAUUUAGGACACAGAGUUCUAUGCCUAAUCUUCAAAAACUAUUUAUGUAUUUUAUAAAAAGGCAAAUCACCUUUGGGUUGUCUCUCUUUGAAAUGUAUUUGCUAAAUUUAGUCAGUGGGAAAAUAUGCUGGCAAUAUUCCAUAUUCUAUAUAACCUAGAAAUAUCUGAUUAUUUUCAUUUUUUUAUUGUCUAGAUUCAUAUUCUACAAGCCAUGGUUUGGAUUUAGUGUAACCUUUGUAGUUAUAUUUCAAUUUAAAAAGAAAAGGAGGUGUUUCUCAGGGCUUGAUACACAGACCACUUACUGUAGUCUCUUCUAUGCAUCACUAACUGCCUGUUCCUGUGAGGCAGUUUCACAAAUGGGGUUUUUCAGUUUUUCCUACUGCAGCUAAAGCCACGUUAUAAACAUAGAACUUGGUUUAAAAAAACACACUAUAAAAAACACUGAAAAUACUUGGGGAAACUUGGGGAAAAUAUCAUUCCCCUACCCACAAUUCCACUUGUAUGGUACAGCAGAGCGAGUGUUCUUCUUUUUCUAGUCAUUAUAAUCUUUACUCUUAAGAUAUUAGAGAAUUAGCAAAAUCAGAAUUAAAUUCUGUGUCUUGUAUUUAUUCACAUAGCUGGUAAAGAGCAGUCAUUGGAGACGCAAGCUUCUUGUAAUAGCUUCUGGCAUUUUUCAGCUUUUAUAUGUGAGAGGAAUUUUUCAAUUUCCAGUCUUUGGCCUUUCUGAUGAAACUGCUCACUAGGGUGCUUACUGUAGCAAUUCUGUAUUGUCUUUGUUUAAUACAGACACCUGUCCCUUAGGAACCAAGUGGAUUUCAAUUGCUUAUUAUAUACAGCCCACUGAGCAGACAUCCAGUGGUGAUUUUUGCUCAGCACUAGUUUCAACUUUUUUUAAAAAAAUGGUAACUAUAUUUUUAAGAAGCAGCACCCUCCAGACCUGAUUGACAAUGCUAUAACAGGCCAAAUCUUGAGGGUAUUCACAAUUGAAUAUAGUAUCUUGCUGAUGACUAUGGAUUCCUGAUCCCAAAUUCCCACAUACAAUAAUAGCAUAUCAAUAUAUAGACACGUCCAACAAACGUCUAACCAUUUUCCUCAGCUGAGAGAAAAUAAUUAUUUUUCCAGUUCUGAUAUAUUAAAAAAAAUCUACAAAGUACUCCUUAAAUGAAGGUGAGACUCAGCCUAUGCAAUAUCUUUACAACCAUCUCACUAAAACAGGGAAUCUCUUCCAUCUACUCUUCUUCUACAUUGCUUUAAGAAUAUAGUUCUUAUCUACCUUACGGGUAACACUUUAACUUCAUUAAGGCUUAAUAGGCGCCUACAAUACCAUUGAGGGGGGUUUUCAAAAUAUUUUGACUUUCAGUAGUGUUCAUCACAUCAAUUAUGUAGGGACAUAGAAGAGCUGUCUUACCUGGUUGAAAGUUACUCAUCUAUUAGAUAAGGGAGUUGCUCAUCUAUUAGUUCACUGCAUUUCUAUGAAUCUUCCUUUCUCCUUUCCCCACUACUGAGUAGGAGUCUUUAUCCCACUCAUUGUUAUCAAAGUAGACCAAUCCAAAUUAGACCAUAGCAUAAAUUACCUCACAGGAUUGCUGCAAGACUAAAAAUGUCAGCUAAGAAGAUCAGGAGGAAGGAACUAGACAAAAUAGCGGUCAACGGCAAAGGGGAUUCGGAUAUUUAAUUUGGCACAUCUUACCUGAAAAUCUUCUGCUAUUCUAUUCUAUUUAAUGCAACAAAUAAUUUUAGUAGUCGUGACCGUGGUUUUACUGUAUGUCUGUGCCUGAUGAUUUCAUGAUUAUUGUCCCCCCCCGUUUUGUUGUUUGUUUGUUGUUUGUUUGUUUUUUAUUCUCCUUCUGAACGAUGCCAUGGCCUAUGGCUAGUGCAAUAAAAAGUUUAAUUGGAAUUGGAAUUGGACUAAAAAUGUCUCUCUAGGCCUCCAAGAAUGAUCAGGAUCUGUUGGCCUCCGUCUAUCUUGGGAGACAAUGGAAGGGUACACCUUCAGGGGUAAAGAAAUGCAGAGCUGUUCUGCCAACAGACCUAGUGCCUGAAACCAGCUCCCCAUAAAGCAUGCCCUUGGGGAUCUGUCACCUUCCGUUCUGUGUGCAUGACCAAGCCAAGGUAGACAUCACUGAGGCAGAAGUGCAAACAUGCUGCGAAUGUGGGUUUGGGAGAGCACAUCUUUAUUUGAGAUGCUGUCCUGCUAUGCCCAAAAUUUUCCUGUGGUGCAGAACAUAUGAAAUACAUUGAGGUGUCACUCCUGGUGGGUGUGAGGUGCCCACAACUCACUUCCAUAAAGCAGCAUGCUCAGCCCACAAGCCUGGAAGACCUUCAUCUUGGUAUUGGUUGUUAGUAUCACAUUCUCCCAUACCCUUUUGGAGAGGUGAGCCAUUGCCAUAGCUGCCUUGCCAAUACACUUGUCCAGCUGAGCGUUGAUGGAAAAGUUUAUGGUUAUGGUGGAGCCCAGGUAGACAAAAUAGCUUACCACCUCAAGCAUGUGGUCACCAAUGCCAAUGCAGGGAGUGUUGGCGAUGUCCUGAGUCUAGAUGUUGGUCUUGUGGGGCAAUACAACAACAGAUCCUGAAGGAAGAAUGGUCCACAUUGUCUAUUUUACUACUGUGGGUGAACAGGAGAGAGUUGGGGGGGGGGAAUAAAAAAUUGCUCAGGUUUGAGAGCCAAGUGCCAUUUGGAAGAACAGGGAGCAGAGGCAGGUCUGCUCUGAGCACAGCCAUAAUGGGCAAAAGGUUGCACAGUGGAGGAGCAACUGUAGGGAAUGGAGUAGAAUGGUCAGUUUGCCUCCCAUCAAUUUCCUCCAUCUGACCCUUCCUAGCAUGCUGUAAGAAGAGCCCAAAGUCCCACUGGGAACUUUGGUGCCUAAAUGAGUCCUUUGGUGUAAAUGUGCAAUUUUAAAACGGAGUCUAUAGCUAGAAAUGGUUUAAGAAUUGCAUCACAAUAUAAAGAACAGUAGGAUUUAAACAAACAGGCUCGCAUCCACAAAAAGGAACAGGGUAGCUAAUAACUGACGUUCUCCCCCCCCCCAUUCUUUCUAUAAUUUAAAUUUGGUCUAAAUGACAAAUCAAUUAAACUUUCAUAUUUGCAUUAAAGGUUGAUGGAGCAGCCAGUCUGAAUUACUUUUAAAGCUGCAUAGAGGGCUCCCUUACAUACAUAAAAUGAAAGCAUAUGGAGAAGAAUUGAUCUCAGGGAAAGGAGAUUCCCAUAUGGUAUAAAAGCAAGGAAUUUCUUCAUAGAUUGAAAUAUGGAUCAUCUUUUAAAACAAAUCCAAAUUGCAGAUGGUGAAGCUCAGACUGAAAUGGAAAAGAUUCCUUGUUAUACCAGUGGAGCAAAGCAUAUGUUCCAUAUAAAUGCUAUAAAUAGUAGCAACUGGAUAAUCCUGUGGGACGUGUUUGCAUAAAGAAAGCAGCAAUAGCAAUAGCCAAUAUAUAUAUGCGCAUUUCCCCCCCCCCCCCCCGCCUAUAUCCAUCUAGUGGCAGCACAUUUUUCUGCUUAUGAUAUGUGCUAAAAUCCAAUGUUUGGUUCAAAAUAAAGCUAAUUUGCAUUGGCAUAGAGACUUAACUCACUGGUGUAUUAUUACUGUGUAAGCAGGUGUAGAAGCAACUGCAAAUAAAUGCUUGCUGAUGGAAUCCCAGCAGGGUUUCUGAUGAGUUUUCGUUUUGUUGAACCUUACCAAGGAAAUUACUGCGUAAAAAGCUUUGCUAUUAGUUCUUUGCCUGAAAAAAUCAUUUAGCUACACCUGGCCAGAUUCAUGGCAAUUAUACUAACUAUGCAUAGAGGCCAUACCAAAAAACUCAUCCACCUUUUUAAGCCAUGGCCUGAAAUCUGUCAGUGUAACAGUAGAAAAUAACACAACUAAGCUAUGAAUAAUAAAAAAGCAAAUGCACAUAAAGGGGGGAGGGAAAUGGAAUUUAAACUAGAAUCUAUGUAACUAUAAUGUAAUGGCCAAUAUUUAAAGUGAGAAUUGUCUACAAUUGUUUAUUUAUUUAUUUCAAAUAAUGUGUAGUGCUUAAUCUUUUGUAAUGGUUUUAAAUGGCUAAAAGUAUAUGUAAAUAGAAAUGCUAUGAUAAAAUAUCUCAUUAAUAGCUGAAAAAUGUAGGUGUGCAACACACACCUGGCACUAUAAUCCAAAUGCACAAGUUAGCUUUGAGUGAUCUUAGUGAAAGAGAUUCAAAAUGGAUACUAAAAUUGUUUAGAAAAUGAAUCUGUCUCAUGGUAAAAAGAUCCAGGGGUAAUAAAUCAGAACUAUUAUUUUGAUUUCCUUUGUAGUGAUGACAAUGGCAAUGCAACCCGUUAGCACAAAGAAAACAUAAACAACAGGAGUAUUCAGACUGUACUGAUUUUGAAUGCAAGUGUUUAUCUUGACAAAAAUAUCCCUAAGCAUAGAAGAUAUACUUAAAAAAGAGCGUUUAUGAAUUUUCCUUUACUCCAUAUGAGUUUGCCUUUAGAAGAUCCAUCCUUCUUGCUCUGAUCUGCAAAGUUUUCACACCUGUUUUCAUGGAUUUCUACACGAUCCUAUGCAUGCUUACUUGGAAGCAAAUCCUACUAAAUCCAAUGGGGCUCAUUGCCAUGUAAGUGCACAUGGGCCCUUAAGAUAUCAAAGCUGCAUUUUUAACUGAAGCUAGAGUAAUCAAAAUGUAGGUAUCAUACACCCUUUAGUCACAUGACUGCUUAGAAUGUGACAGCUGCCACACGCUGCAAAGAUUCUAAUCUUUAUAGUGUUGACAUGAUUUAUGUACGGCACCACAUCAGGCUAUAUUCAUCUAGAAACACAACACAAUUGCAAAGUAUGUAUCUGGGUAACCCCCAUGCAUUUAUAAAGCAAUAGGUUUCUUCCUUCUUCCUUCCUAAGAUAAAAAUAGCAAAUACAUUACAGUGGUAUCUUGGGUUACCAACACCUUGGGUUACAAACACGUCGGGUCACUGACUCCGCUAACCCGGAAGUAGUACCUCGGGUAUGGCUUAAUUUCUAAAUAAGAGCUAUGGAGUCAUCUUGUCUGAAAAUCAUACUUGGGCACUCUUACAAGGAGGCUCUUUCCCUGUCCAUAGAGACUAAUUGAUUUGUUUUUAAAAGAGGAGAUAAUGGCACUCUGCACAUAUGGAAUGGCAUGCUACUCUAAAUAAGUACUGUACAUUCUGGUGAAAACUGUAAGGUUAAAAAUGGCAGCCCUACCAAGCAAAAAUGUGGCCGGCCACCACUGCUUUCAACCCACUUUCAUUCUAAAAGGCAGUGGAAUGCUGAAUUCUUAAAAAACAAUGUAAACAUUGCACCAGUCCCUAAUUCAGCAGCAUAGGUGGUAGCAAUUUACAUACAUUUGAUUGAAAGCAAAUGUCUCUGAAUAAGGCAAAUGUGUAUUAAUAGGAACACCCCACAGAAAAUGUUAUUUCUGUUUUUAACCUAGAUCAGGUAUAUGAGUUUAAUUGAUAGAUCCAGACAAUAAUAUGGAAUUCAGUCUUUUAUGCUAAUGACCAAUUAAGUUAAUGGGGUUACUUAACAGCUACUUUGGUGCAAAUGAUUUGAAUAUUCAAUGAUGAUAGUGGGAAUAGCUCCCUAGAGAGCAAAUAUGAAUACUAAGAGCACAAUUCUAUCUAUAGGUUAUAUUCUGUCUAUAGGUUAUACCUUAUGAUCGGCAUAGAACCAUUGCUAAAUUUCCCUUCAGAAUAAAAUUAGACACUAGCAUAGUUUACUUAUGUCCGUGGUAAUCUACCAGCAGUGGAAUUACUUAUCUACCACUGGAGAACUGCCAGUGUAAUAGGAAAAAUCCAGGCAGAGCUGGGGUGUGGCAGGUGAGGAAUAUGUUUUAAUCAGAAUCUUAUCCGCAUUCAGGGCCCUGACCUGCCCCUGAUGAUGGAAUAGUGUUGUGCUUACAAAAGAGGUAGUCUAAGUAAAAAAAAAAUCUAAUGCGAUCCAAGUAUAAACAGCACCAGAACACUGCACAUCCUACUUCCUUACAUUUCUCUGUCCCCUUGUCUCUUCCUGGCAAUAUGCAUUGUUGUGGGAAGGGCAUGAACUGUUGGGAAUCUGAAGUGACAUACCCACAUGGCAGAAGUUGUCCCCAGUUCCAGUCAGCACCCAAAGGCACCUUAAGGUCCAAAAUAAUUUACUACUGAAGAAGAUAAGGCUUCUGUAACACAGUACUGGAUGUUGAUAUAUAUACAGAUAGAGAUAUAGCCGUACAAAGUAUUUCUGUUGCUCCAGCAAUUCAAGACGUAACACAGAUUCUGACUCACUUCUCAAGACUCACUGGCUGACUAAUGAGCUGACAUUCCUUAAUCACGUAUAUCAGGCAUAGGCAAACUCGGCCCUCCAGAUGUUUUGGGACUACAACUCCCAUCAUCCCUAGCUAACAAGACCAGUGAUCAGGGAUGAUGGGAGUUGUAGUCCCAAAACAUCUGGAGGGCCGAGUUUGCCUAUGCCUGACUUAUAUAGAUGGCACUGGGCAGUUGCCAUAGUAACUGGGUUCACUGACCUUGCACCUGUUGGCUUAUCUCAUACAUGGGGUGAUUUAUACUCAUGAAGGAAAUUAACCCCUUCCUCUAUGUCCAAUUCCUCCAACAUGAACUGAGUUCUGUGAAGUCAUUGUGGCAUCCCUGCCAUUGCCAAGGACACAUUGUCUGGUAGUGUUGUUGUGUUAUCUUUUGUUCCUAACCAUUAUUUUGCUUUGCUACUAAGAAUGCACAAGAUCAUGAUUAUGUGCUGUUAAGUGUUCAUUCUGGUACAGUUUUUGUUGACUUCAUAAAUCAUAGGAUUGGUAUCCACAAAACCUUCUAUAUCCUUCUGUAUUAUCUGAAUUUACAUUACUAUGAGAUUCCGAAAUACUGAGCACUUUACUUAUAUACAUCAACUUAUAUGUAUUAGAAACAGAAUUGUGCCCAUUAUCAAGCAUAAAAAGACCCUUAAUGUUCAUAUAUCCUUUCCAAGCAACAUCUUCAUUUAGGGGAGAUAGGAUAUGAUUUAUUUAUGAAGAGAGUUUAAAAAUGCUUCUAUUUAAUUUCUUGCCUAUAUCACGGACUUGCUCCAAAUCCCUCUUCUUCAAACUAAAACUCAUUUUUAUUCUCUCUUGCUGUAAUUAGGAAGACAAGGUAUAUUUUAGACCUUAGAGUAUUGUUUUAAUUUUCCCACACAGUAUUUAAACCACUUACACUGACACCUUUCAGAGUCUAUUUCUCUUAUUUAAAAGUCCCCUGUGGUUGUUCCUUGUCUCUCAAGUGAGCAUUAUCUUAGAUUUACUACUAUCUGUGUAACACCAGAGAAAAGGAAGAUGCAGCCAUACUCUGUCAGUGCCAAACAAUGGCUGCCAUUGUUCUUGGUCUUCCUGCGUGGGUUAUUGCUGUUGUAUACAGCUAAGUUAAAAAUGUGCAAAGAAAUAAAAUUAGAGUUCUGCAAUUAGUCCACCUGCAAUGCCCAAAACCUUAGCUGAGUUUCCUGAGUUUCUCCAAAUAUGCAAAUCCCAAGCUGGAAGGCUAACACCAAUCAAACUGGUUCCCACUGUGUAGCUUUGAACAAUUUUAAAUAUUCCUGUCAUGUUGCAUUUCACAUAACACUGCCACUACUCAUGAAAUACAUUUAGACAUUUCUGAGCUGAAUGUAAUAGAUGUGAUGAUGUGAAAUUAGGAACUGUUUGGAACACUUGCUGCCUAGAAUAACUGUUCUUGGUGAUACUGGAUCAGAAAUAUACAAAUUAAAUAAAUUUCUCUGUGUGACUGCCUGGCUCUCGCAGAUCAUGGUAAAGGACAUAAAACAUUAUUUUCACCAAGAUAAUUUUUUUCUGAUGAACUAUCCUGUUAGAAAAGUUGCUUGGCCUGAAAAUAAUCUUCAUCUGUCUCUUUUUAAAAUAGCUCUAUUUUGCCUGUGUGGCUGUCUGCAACAAGUAAUAUCCCAUCCACGCACUGCAAUUUGCUUUUUAAAUGGAAGUUGUUUGCUUUAUUUAUUUACAACUUCCAUAAAAGACACUUAAAGGAAAGCAUUUUUGCAUUAAGUCAUUUUCCGCCUCCAACAAUAUUACUUUCUUACCCAUCAACAUCUGGAGGACAUAUAUCUAAUAAUUUCCAUGCUGUUUUUUUCAAAUAGUUUAUUUACAUAAAUUCUCAAAUUACAAAGUAUUCCUUAACUCAUGCAUUAAUCUUGUCAAAUAUCGUGUUUCAUGUGCCAUAUUAGUAUGAUGCUAGGAACAUCCACAGUUAUCUCAGAAACCAUUUCCAUGCUUUGAAGAACCAUCAAGGCAAUGUGUUGAUCCAAAUGUACUACUGCAUGUAUUAAGAGCCUUCUAUGUAUUAAGGGCCUCUUCUGAUGGUGGAAGGGGCAUGAAUCUACUAGAGGAUUCUGCAAACGGAAGUCAGGGGCAUGAUUUUCACCACCACCACCCCACUUUACUCAGCUUUGCCCCAUUAUUUUUCAACCCUGCGAAGCAAAUUUUUGAGGGACUCGGGGGAGCUUAGACUUCAGAGCACACCACUCACAGAACUCUGGAUCCACCCCAAUGUAUGCAAAUCCUUCUGCUGUGGUCCAAACAUGAUUUCCAGUGCUAUUGGUCCUCUGACCACAGACAAGCUGCAACAGGCAGCUCAGAAGCAACACAAAAUAGUAAUACAGUUUGUUUCUGAAACUGGUGUGGGAAUUCCCUGAGGGCAGGGGAAGGAUCAUAGCUCAAUAGAAGAACAUCUACUUUGCAUGCAGAAGGUCCCAAAUUAAAUUCUCAUCUUCUCCAAGUAGGGCUGGAAGUUUCCCCGUCUGAAACCCUGUUGAGUUGCUGUCAGUCAGUGUAGACAAUACUGAGCUAGAUUGUCAGUAGAAAACAGUAGAAAACAGCCUCCUAUGUUCCUAAAAAAGCUGUGCAUAUAUUUUUUAGUGAUAGAAAGGGAAAUUAGGUUUCCCCAACAUGUAGUUUUGGGCUCUGUUGGCUUUGUUGCAGGUCAAGUUAUCUCAUGCUAUAAAUGAGAUGGCUUGGAUAGACAGCACAGGACAGGGAAAUAAUGGAGUAUUUAUUAUUAUUUUGAAGUAAAAAUACAACAUAGGACCGCUAAGGUAUAUAGCCAAAUCGACCCAGAGAACAAACAGCAUUCAUCACACUGCACGGAAGAUGUGGCCUUUCAAAAGGCAUGCAUUACGGGUAUAAUCCAGCCAAAGUUGAGCACAUAGCCAAAUGGUCUUUGGUCUCCUUUACAAUCCAUUAAGAUGAUUCAGUAGAUUGGUUUUUGCUUGAACUCAUGUCCCGAAUGGUUACCAUUAUUGGAAAUGUUCCUCAGAGCACAUUGACUAAGUAACUCAAUACAGCUUUUUUCCUCCUGCAGUACUUGUCUGAGCUCAGGUACAUGGGUAUCCCAGACUGAAUUUAAGGCAGGUGACCUGUGGUGCCAGGCUUUUGGAGGUGCCUGUCAACUAGUCACUAAAGAAAUGAAGUGAAGACUGAAAAACAAUUCAUCUUUACUUGUAAUGCUGUCAACACUGACCAGUAAAGCUGCAAGGCAAGUCUUGCAUUAAUAUAAUAAAGACAAUGAAAAUCUGUAACAUCACUGCCCAUUCAACAAACUGAAUGUAUGUAUCAAAUCCAUAUGUGAAAUUUAUAGGGCAGAGAUAAAAAAUGCAUACAACAUGAAAAGUGGUACAAAAGCACUAAAAAUAAGGUUCAGGUAAUAAAUAAUAUAGGCUUUCAAAGUUGAGCAAGUGGAACAUGGUGCCAGAGAUACUGACCUCCAAGGGCACCAUUUGAGCUGGGGCCACUGUUGUGUUUUCUGGAACAACUGUUCUCCUAACACUUCUUGCAAUGCAGUUCUUUGCUUGAAGUAUAUUGUGACAUCCGUUGCAUAGAUUAGGAGGCUGCUGCUCUUAGCUUUGAUUAAGCGGUUGCCUAACAUAGCUAUUUCGUAAUUUUGACCAUUAUUAUUAUGUGAUACGAGCCACAUAACAAAAGAAUUGCACAACACCCAACCACCUCAACACAAUGAGCUGGACAUACCAUCUUUUUAAUUAGUCCUGUUCUCCUAGGCACAACUGCAAAGCACACAUGAAAUUGCAAUUUUAUUUGCACACCUUUGUCUUCCAAGCCUCAUAUUGAACAUGUUACAAUAUACUGUCUACUUCAAAUAUUAACAUAUCAGUACUCAUGUGGCCCUCAGUAGAUUGCGAAAACUAAAAAUGUGGUAAUCAUCAAAGCGCCAUGCAAAGCCAUAAUGUAUACCAUAUGUUGAUCCUGUAUCAGCCCAGUACAUAGGCUCCCCAAGCAAAAUGUUAGAUACAAAAUGUUCCAGAAUAUAAUUUGCAGCAACACAAAUUACAAGAGGCAAUUUUCACUGAAAUUAUUAUUUUAAAAGAAAUAAAAAAGAGCAGCAUGCUGCAGUUUUCCUUGACCAAUCAAUUCUUAUUUCAAAAGGUUUUAACAAAUAUUUAAAAUGUAUGAAGGAAAACAUAUGGAGGAGCUUUCUGCAUGAAAAUGCCUCCCCUAAACUUUCUGAAGUGAAUGAAACCAAACAUUCAUCUCGGAUUCAUCAAGAUAAAUAAUAAUGUAACUAUAGGAAGAAACAUAUUUGUGAAAUCUAAAAUUUUGCCUUAGGUACUCCUUCAGAUGCAAGAUGUUGGAAUCUAAUACCUUCAUCUGCUUGGAAGUCCACUUUAAGUCGAUAGGAAAAGACAGAUAUGAGGAUAAAUAAAAGCUUUGCAGUCUACUGAGUUUCUUAGAACUAUUCUUAUUGAUCCAGUGUUUAAUGCCUAAUUUUUAAAGUCUCUCCAAAGGCAAGAGGCAAAGCUUCAGUGCAAAGGAUAUUUAUAAAGGGUUGAAGGAAGGGGUAGAGCCAGAAUUUGGGAACAUAACAGACAUUUUGUAGCCUAAAGUCUUCUAUAACAAUCACAUUUAAUGAUUCUUCACAGGGUUAUGUGGAUAUUAUGGGGCUGUUUUAUGAGACACAGCUGAGGUUUCCCCCCCUAAAAGAUUCUCAUAUUACUUGGAGAUGAAGACCACAUGUGUAUAGCUUUCCCCACCUUUUAAAACACAAAGAAGUAUAAACUCAUAGUAGGGCCUAGUGAUGUUGUAUGGUUGCCAACAGGUUGUUAAUCAAUGAAGAGUGGGCUAGAAAUAAAGAACAACAACCACAACCAUCCUUGGGAAACAAACAAACCGGAGUCCAGCAUUUAGAGGGUGGCACCCAGUGGUAUAGAGGCCCACAAAAAAUGAAAUACAAAAUACUGGAGAUCUGGGUAAUUAAAAAAAAAUAUUAAUGCUAUAUUUUCUGUUUCUGUAUGGUAAGUGAAAUACUUUUAAAAGUAGUGUUUUGAAAUAAUAUUAUUCUAUCCAAUUACAGUGGUACCUCUGUUUCCAAACGUCUCAGCUGACAAACAUUUUGGUUUCCGAAUGCCGUAAACCUGGAAGUAAAUGGUUCAGUUUUCGAACACGCCUCAGAAGUCAAAAAUGCCACGCGGCUACUAUAUUGAGUUUUCUGUAUUGAGUUUUUGGUUUUCAAAUGUUUCAGAACUCGAACAGUCUUCUGGAACGGAUUACGUUCAAAAACCAAGGUGCCAGUGUACACUGCUGCUAGAUCCAGUCACUAGUGCCUUUGUCUGGAUUAUUAAACCAUUCUCUCCAAUAAUUGACAGAUGAAGACAGGAAUAUGCUUGUAACAAAGGCUGAACCAAAAAACUUUUAGCUCAAAAAUUGGGAAGUGGACCUAAAAUGGCAGGACUGAAGUCUUGUGGGGUGUGGCAAGUGUAGCUGUAAAGUAUAUGGCAGUGGGGUGGGGCUGUUUGGCCGCAAUGGCAGCUUCUCCCUUAUUUGUUGCCCUUUCCUUCCUCUUCCUAAUGACUUCUCCGUAGUUAAGGGAGCAGGGAGCUCUUCAGCUGGAGUGUCACCUGCUUCAACUCCAUCUGACCAUAUCAAACCAUUAUUUCCAAGCACAGUACUCAUACCCUCCAAGUCACGUGACCCACGUGAGAUCAUGGAGCCUCAAAACACACAUUUUGGUAUGCUGCACAAGAUUGUGGUACCAGAAAAAGCACUUGAUCUCACACGAGCAUGGUGACCCAAAUGGCUGCUGUGACCCUGCCGGGGAAAACGGAAUGUCCCAGUUUUUCUGGGACACUUGUGGGGUAUGCAGUACUAACCAUUUUGCUGACAUGGGGCAAGUGGGCAGCAAGACAUUCACAUUGUCCCUCUUGUUGUAACUUGCUAAAUGCUUGCUCUCUGCCAGCUGUCCCAUUAUAGUGUGUGCAUGCUCGGUAAUGUUCUGGGGAUGUGAAGAGAUUUUCCCUGUGCUAGCUACAGAAUUGUUCCAGAGGAAUGAACUGGAAUGGACUGCCAGAUUUGCUAUUAGUGUAUAGAUGAGUGAGGUUGUUGUUUUUUAGCUAUAACUUCUGAGGAUGUUUAUACUUGCUGAUAAUUUGAUGAAAGGUUCCUGCCAUUCUAUUCUCUCUCUUGGGGUUAUACUUAAUAAAAGUCUAGUGCAGUCUAUACUGAAAUAAUACGCUGUCUCAAGUAUUGUUGCUUUUGUUGGUUUUUCUACAUAAUACAGUGUUUUAUGAUGGAGAGUGGAGUAUUUUAUGAACAGAAAGAUUUCCACUAGAUUUAUGUCCCAUUUAUAUGAGGCCAAUAGAUUGCAAUAGCACGUGUAAGAACGCUGAAGCAAAAAAACAAACUGUACUUAUGUCAAGGAGAUGGAUUUCGGUUGUAAAGAAUAUGUGUAAGAAUAAGAUAAAGACAUAAUACCAUCUUAAGGCCUUUCCCUCUUGAUGCAGUUAUAUAUGUUACUGCACAUAUGCAGUGAGGUCCCUGGCCCUUUAAAAAUGUAAUAUUAUGCAAAGGAAUCUGCCUUGGCUAAAAUGCAGAUGGAGAAGAGAGGCACAAUGGAUAAUAAUGUAACACACACAUAACACAAUGGCACACACUGCAGGACCUGCGGGUUAGGAGUAACUAUUAAGCUCUCUUUAGGCGUUAUCCAAAUAUAGAAAGAAACAUAUGAGGUGGGGAAUGGGGUGGCUGCCUUUGUGUUUUCAUCACCUUCCCACAUGUGGAAGGUGACUGUCUGCAGAGAGGAGCCUCCUGUAUCAGUUGUGGCUUCUGCAUGUGUUUUAGAAUCUUGGAAAAUCUGGGCUUCAAAUUGUGAAGGUAUUGUCCAGAAAUACUAAAGUCUUCCUGCUCCACUCAGUCCUCUUUCAUUAGUAGGAAUUAAUGAGAAUGGGGGUAGAGAGAGGUGGAGGUAGCAUGCUUGCUCCUGCUGCCCCCCCCCUAUUUACUUCCGCAUUUGGGUGAUGCCUGAAGAGGGUUUGCAUGUCUCCUGUUUUCUUGGAGACAGAAGGAGACAGAAGAGUCAUCAAUUACCGCAAUGUUCAUCACAGCAUCAGCAACAACAAGGCUAAACAGUUCCUGACCACAUACCGUAUUUUUCGCUCUAUAACACGCACCCGACCAUAACACGCACAUAGUUUUUAGAGGAGGAAAAUCCGUAGGCAUGCCACCCGUAGGCAUUUCCUCCAUAACACGCACAGACAUUUCCCCUUACUUUCUAGGAGGAAAAAAGUGAGUGUUAUGGUGCAAAAAUUACGGUAUAUGAGGAUGGGUAGCAAUUUCAUGGAGGUUGUUGACUCUCUCCUUGACCCAGUCUGGCCCUGAUUUGGUGGUGGUUGUUGCUGCUUUUUGUGGAACUGAGGUAGCAGGGGCUUAGCUACCUAUGGGGCCAUUAGAAAGAUCUAACCCACCUCCCCCACAAUUCAUCAUUAUGAUAGGUAGCCCAUUUGUAUUUAAUAAAUGAAAGAAAUAACAAAUCUGAACAAUCACAUUGGAACAGAAUAAUCACUUAUACGUGGUAACUCAAUGCAAAAAAAGGAGGAGGAUUGAAUAGAGUCACUUUCAAUGACUACUCUAGCGUAUUUAGAUGGGGUCUGGAGGUCUUCUUUCAUCCUCUCCAGCUGCCAAGCUUGCUUACAUUUACCUAAAUAUAUUUAAUACUAGAAUCUUUGGGAUUACUCUCCAGGCCACCCCAUGCAUUCUCUGUUGGAGUAAAACAUUUACACUCAAGGAAUAAAAGCAAACGGAAUUGAAACACUGCAGCAGAGAAAUUUGCCUUUCUGAAGCUUCUGUGAUAUUUAUGCAUGUUGGAAUUGUUGUGUAUUGAUUUGGUUUUGAAACACCACAAGUCAUACUAACAGCAAAGAACUCAUUUAUCCUUAGCACAAAACACACAAUAAACAAGCUUAUUGUUUGAAAGUUUCAGUUGGGAUAUGCAGUACACAUAUUCAAUUAUCAUAAACAAAUUUAAGUGCAAACUGCCAAGUGUUGUUGCCAUUUGAAUUGCUUACUAUUACUCCUUUUAUAUCUUCCAGAUUUUGCAAUAACCUCAUCAUGAUGAAAUGCCUUUGGCAGCAAUUCAUUAAUAAAGAACAGUCUAAAAAAACCUCUCAGACAACUGGGAUGAGAAAGGUGAAAUCAGAAAGAGUCAUAUGGAUUCCAUUCUAAAAAGGUCUGUAGCUGCUUACAGCUCUUUCCUAUCACCAUGAAUAUUCAUAAUUUGUAUUCCUGCUGAUCCCCAAGAGUUAUUGGUAUGUUUUUUUUAUUAUACCCCUUAACAGAUGACAAAUGAGAAUGGGGUACAUAUACCAUCUUCAGUGAGUUAUAUGUUUCUAAAGGGUGAUUUGCUUGUAAACGCUUAUCAUGUAUUAACUUCAGAUUCAGCAUGCAGUAAUAACAUGCAUAAAAUAUAGAUGCCAAUUUGGAGAUGAGUGGGGCACCAGAGAAGAGUAUCAUAGCUCUGUCCGCCCACUGCUGUGGUUUUACAGGUUUCUAAAAUGUGCAAGGGAACAAAAUGCUUCCCGUUGUAAAAGCUUACCUUUCAUGAAAUGGAAGGUGAUCAGAACUGCUACCAGGGGAUCUAGCUCACUCAUCACCACUGUCCUCUGACGUGUUUAUUUUGACCUAGCUGUAAGGCCCAAAGAGCACUCGUCUGUUGAUAAAUCUCCUUCUGGACUCUGCCAUUUCUGACUGCACCUGAUUGGAUGGUUCAUAGAAUCAUAGAGUUGGAAGAGACCACAAGGGCCAUCGAGUCCAACCCCCUGCCAAGCAGGAAACACCAUCAGAGCACUCCUGACAUAUGGUUGUCAAGCCUCUGCUUAAAGACCUCCAAAGAAGGAGACUCCACCACACUCCUUGGCAGCAAAUUCCACAUUAAAGAAAAAGUCCCGGCACACUGAAAAUUAGCUUGUGAGUGGAAAGGCUGGGUAAUGGCUCAUUUUUAUAUCUGGAAGACAUUCUUUCUAUCUAUCUAUCUAUCUAUCUAUCUAUCUAUCACAUGGAAACAUUCAUUCAUAGGAGUAUCCACCAACAGUCUGUUGUGGAGCAGUCCAGAGACAGGUUUUACCACCUCAUUUGUUGUUUUGUGAGCAUUUGGUCUUAGGGCCUAAUUACGCAUUACUUUAAAUGUGUUGCUUGAAGUGCCAUCAGGUUUUUAAAAACAUAAAUCCACACUGGGACCACUGCAUGUGGCGAGAUGAAGUUUAACCUUUUCGCUUCCUGCUCUGAUCUUGGGGGGGGGGCAGCCUCUGUAUUGCAAAUAGCAAUUGCAAAAAAACCUCCUGUUGCACUAAUGGGAGGGUGUUUCCUCUUCCCUCCUAUUGUUAUUUGCUGCAUGUGGGAAAUUAUUUUCAGGAUGGUGGUGGAGGAAAAUACUUAAAUUUUCCUCCUCACACACUGUUGGACUAACUGAGAUCUAGGGGAGGGGGAAUUUUUUAAAACAAACAAACAAACACACAAACACACACACACACACACACACAGAGAGAGAGAGAGAGAGAGAGAGAGAGAGAGAGAGAGAUUCAAAGAAUCAUAGAAUUGCAGAGUUGGAAGGGACUCAGAGGGUCAUCUAGUCCAGCCCUCUGCAAUGCAGGAAUCUUUUUGCCCAACAUAGGUUUUCAACCCAUGGCGCUGAGAUUAAGAGUCUCAUGCUCUACCAACUGAGCUAUACCAACUUAUUCAUUUAAAACAAUUAUUAGGCCUUUAGUAAUACAUAAAAUAUAAACUAGAUUUUUUUUUAAAAAAGAAUUCAGUGCAGUGUCUCACUACUGUACAUGCUUUAGUUCAUCAACUACAGUUCAACUAUUUCAAGUUUUCUUUGCUUUAUUCUCUCAGUGCAUUCUCAGUGUGACCAAUUUGCUCUUGGAAGCCCACAAUUCAGCCUGUUAUAAAGUAAACUCUCACUAUUAUUUGAUCAAAUUGAUUGGAAAACAAGAUGACACAACCAAGAAAAGAAGAUAUGCUCCAUCAUUCAAGCUUCAAAAAUGUUGCUGUAUUGUCGAUGCUGACCUUUGACUCCCUUAAUCACCUUCUUCUGAUCCUGAUCCUUAGCUCAAAAUACCAUACAAGUGUGAGCCAAUGUAUUAUUUGAAAGUUACAGAAUCAAGCUCUAAUCCUAAAAUCUGUGAGACGAGUUUUUAUUGUUGUUCUCUUUGGGGAAAGGCACUUAGGGCAUAGAGUGUGUGUGUGUGUGUGUGUGUGUGUACACACACACACACACACACACACACACACACACACUUUUAUCUCUCUCUCUCUCUCUCUCUCUUUUAAAGCAAUAUCACCUUACUUUUUAUAGUUACAUGCUUUCCUUUCUGCAAAUUCUUAUGUCUCCAUUCUGAAGAUGUCCCAAUGAAAUAAAAAUCUCUAAUAUCUGAGGCCCAAUCAUAAAUGAACAUCUUCCUAGCUUCUCCUUCAUUUUUACUUUGUAGGAUGGGCUCCUCGCACAAAGGAGGAAAAUAAAUUUAUAAAGGCAUUAGGAAGUACGAUAAUGAAACAUUUGCUUUAACUGUUGUUUGUUUGUUUUUUUUAAAAAGAAAACCACAGACUUCCCCCAUUCAGUAUUCAAGCUAACAUUACCCUGCAGUUGAAGUACAGAACCUAUGGCUCACCAGAUAUUGUUGUAGUCUAACGCCCAGUGCUUUUUUCCAGCAGAGCGCAGUUCCUGCACCUCUCAGGUGGGUGCCAUUGCAGGCCAGUGCUCCCCGCUUCUGCUUCUUGCCUUUACAUACUUCUGAGAAGCCCAAAACGAACAUUUCAAGUCAAAACAGAAGCUGGCCAGCGUGUGAGAGUCUACUCUUUUUAAAAAAAAUAAAUCUAUGAUUCCACCUAGCUCCUAACUGCUCCUAAUUGUGAUUGGUCAAACUACUAUGGGGAAGGGCCAAUUCAUAUUUCCUUUUCUUUAAUCCGUCUCUUGUGUAGUGGCAACGAGCUUUAAGCUUUCCCGCCAGGCCUCUACCGUUGUACCUGUGUUUGUGCAAUGACCUUUCUGAGCUGCCGUAGCCAUCCGCCUGAAUCUAGGAGAACGAGGGAGGUGGGUGAUGCAUUUAAUUGACCAUCACCAGAACCAGGGGCACCAGCAUCUGUUCAGGGCUGCCCUGAGCCACCCAACAACUUACUGUAACAACUUCAUGGUGAUUUCCAGCACCUAUUGUUCUUGAGAAAAGCACUCCCAUGAGUCCAAGUCAGCAAAGUCAAGGAUGAUGAGAGUUGUAGUCCAACGACAUUUGGAGUGUCACAGGUUACCCGCCAUUGCUUUAGGGCUUCAAAAGCCAAACCUCUGUUAACAAUGCUGAGAAACAGCCCAAUAGCCUAACCAGAUCAUUAAGCAUUGUGCUGUGGUGGUACAGGAAUGGGCAUGAGCAGUAUACAGCUCACAGUCUUUUUUCAGAGCAAGAGCAAUGCCAGGGUGAUUCAUUAAUGGAUCCUUCUUGCUCUGGGUGAAGCUGAAGUCUCAACAAGGAUGCACUUUUAAAUAGGGAUAAAAUACAAUUUCCUAUAAAAUUAGAAUUAUCGAAAAGGGAAAUUUCAAAUCUCUAUAUUUAACCACCCAGAUUUCUCUUUUCAUCCAGAUAUGGGAACUGAAAAUUACACAUUUUGUCAGUAAAAUCUGACACAUUUAAUACAUGCACACUGAUACAUUCAGCAUGACACCGGCUUUGGCAUCCCUUAAAGUAAGGCAUACUUCCUCAGCUCAAAAAGCCCUUGAGACAGUCACACAGUAUGGGCUUUCUUUGAACUGUUACCUGCAGCAGUCCAACAGCUGGAUAUUUUUAAACUCAGUGGUUCCAUCUUUAGCAAUAGGACCUACUGUGUCAGAAACAAAAAGCAAAAAUAACCCAGGUCUAACUCCCCCUGCACCCUAGCCUUAAAAUAAAUGUUGAAUAACACAGUCACUGUUGGGUGGUUUCAGAGUUCUUCAUUUAUACUCACCUUUUAAAACAAUGUGGAUUGCUGCAAUUAAAAUAUAUAAUGUUGUCUUUCUUAGACACUAAAUGAAAUAUAGUACAUAAUUUCUGUAAAUCAAUAUGGCUUUUAAAAAUAAACAAUAAUAUAUUUUAAUUACACAAAUCCCAAUUAUUUUAAAGGGACAAUGUGAAUAAAGAUAUCAGAAGUGGGAAGAGAAAUCCAACACAGAUUAUGUCACUCAAAAUCCUAUUUAAGGCUGGGGUGGGUAAAUUCUGAUUUGUUUGUUUGCCAAGUCCCCUUGCUAAAGGUGGAACCACUGAGUUUGCGAGGUCAAGAUAUUUUAAAUGAUAUUUGAUACUGUUUGAAUGUGCUGGUACUGAAGGAGUUUACCUGAAUCACUGCUGUCUUGUGUUUUCCAGUUCCUACAAGGUCAAACAGCUUAUGAAAAUCAUGCUGUUUUUGCCAGUCUUAUAUUUCAUCACAGAAAUUCCUAUGAAGAGGGAAACUCCAGAACCCAUCAAAACACCAUCAGUUAGACUGCAGAGCCUAAGAGUAGAAUACUAAUUUUUAUAGCUACAAUUACAUAUGCAUGGGGAAAUCAGGUUUUUGUGGCUGAAAUUAACAGAAUAUAUCCUCAAUAUCCUUGUUUAUUUGUUCUUCCAAAAAAAGAAAAGAAAAAGAAGGGGGGGCUCUCUAAUGAAGUGAAGAGGUGAAGGUAGCUUUGAGAGGGAGGGAGGGAGUUAGCUAAUUAGGCAAUAUCCUCUUGAAUCUUUGAGAUAAACUCUAGGUCAAUAGCACAAAAAUUAGCAUAACAUUCAUAUUAAUAUGUUUCAAAAUCAGAUACAGCAAAAGCUUACACUUGGAAAUCUGUGUAAUCACAGGCAUCUAAUUUUCAAAGAGGUUUUGGGUGCUCAUUAUGGUGAUGGAUGACAGUACUGAAAACAUCAACACUUUUUUUUAGCUCAGCCCCACGAUGUGUGUUCUUUACAUAUUUGUCCUAUGGUGUUUUGCAGCUUUAUAAUUUAUUUAGCUAUUGUCGGAAGCAGAAGAAAGAUGGUUCAUAGGUUCUCAUUCUCUCUCUCUCUCUCUCUCUCUCUCUCUCUGUGUGUGUGUGUGUUUUACAUAUUACUGUUUUGUCCUUGCCUUCCAGACAUGUUAGUCAUAAUAACUAAUAAUACCAUGAAAAUCAGAAUUCACUCCAACAGGCAGGUCACCUGGGAGGUUGAUGGUACCUAAACACCUCUGGGAUUGUUAUGAUGUGAUGGCACUCCAGCAGAAGUGGUGCUACAUCAUGAUGCUGAAGGGCGACAUCUCAGCACAGCAUACCAAUGGCAAAGGACGGAAGAACAAGUGGAAUGAACUAGGGAUGACAAUUUUUGUUCUUUCAUCUCUAACAUCUUGUUACAUAUGUGUGAGAAGCAAAAGGCCUGAAUGCCAGAGAAAACCUUGCUCGUAUAUUUGUAGCCUUGUUCACAAUAUAUAUUUUUUUAAAGUAAACAUUUUAUUUAACUUUGAAAUUCAGAAAAAGAACUGGGAGUAAAACUGAAACCUCAUUUGUAACUUUUAUUAUUUUGUGCUAGGGUAAAAUAUGAAUUGCAGUUAGUAUGGUUUGAAGGUCAUGUAGAACUUUUUGACACUGGAUUUAAAUCAUAGAAUUACAGAAUUGUAACGUUGGAAAAAAAUCAGAAGGGUCAUUUAGUUCAACCCCCUGCAAUGCAGGAAUCUUUCACCCAAUGAUCGAACCCACGACCUUGAGAUUAUGCAUCUGUGCGCAUAGGCAUAAAACCCUGUUUUUAUUAUGUUUCUGUAUCUGUUGGAAACUACCCAGAGUGGCUGGGACAACCCAGCCAGAUGGGUGGGGUAUAAAUACAACAACAACAACAACAACAACAACAACAACAACAACAUACUACUAUGUACAUACUACAACAACAUACUACUAUAACAAAAACAACAAUAUACUACUACUACUGAAAGUUCCCAGGCUCUUUCCCACUUUAUAAGUCUAUUGUCAACCACUCCAAAGGCAGGGGACAAUUGCAUAUUGACUCACUGACCUGGAUCCCUGGGACCAAAGUAAAAAUGCUUCUGAGUCAAUUGCUGGUAAAAGGCUGGUGAUCAACUGUCCAGCUCUCACCAAUGUGCAGUACCUACUGCAGCCAUGGGCAUCAUAGCCUGUUCUGUUAUAAAGAGCCCACCAACCAACCCUAAGAAGCAGCUUCUCAGGAAGACUGGGGGGGGGGAUGGGUAACCCAAUUUUUAUAAGUGGAAGUUAUUUCCACUAUGACAAAGCCACCACUGGAUGCAAUUUAGUGCCUUAAACCAACCGUUGGCAGAAGGUGUUUUCUCCUUGGAUACCAGGGAUCAAAGCAAUUGAGUAUGCAGUUUGUACUGCCUGCAAAGUGUUUAACAGAUGACUGCAAUGGAAAGUGGGAGAAAAACUGGGAAUUUUCAUUAGUAUGACUAGGAUUUGCUACUCCAGUUUCAGGGUGACUUCUUCAUACUGUAAUAAAGGGGGGAAUUAAGCAGCACGGGAUGGAAUUGUAAAGUCAGGGUUUCCUGUCAAUAAAGCUAUGAAAGAAAAAUAUAUAAAAUAUAAAGCAUGUGAGAAACUGACUUUAAGAAGUAAUUACAGAUGUAAUCUGACUGAAUACAACUAGGGAUUUCCUUGUUUACUCUGGAGUUGACAACUGACUUUGAUUACACACAAGUCGAAACACAGAAAUAUAGGAAGCAUAUCUUACAUGCCAACCAAACUCCAGACAAAGAAAUCUGAAAAGCCCAUCUUACCUCCCAGCAUAGGAAACUGGUUAGAUUAUUUAUUCAUCUAGCCAAGUAUUGUCUGCUCUGUCUAGCAGCAGGAAACGAGUGUCUUGGCCAGGGAUCUUCCCUAUCUCCUGCCACUUUAUCCUUUUUAAUGGGAGAUGCUAAUGAUUGAUGGUGGGACAAAGCAUGCACUUUACUAAGCAAUGGCCUCUUCUCCCAACCCAUGCUCCCACAUGGAGUAACGUGUAAACAUCUUCCACCCAUGCAAUUCCAGUGGAUUCCAUGGUCACAUGCUGUAACUACAAAGCCCAUUUUGUGCCAUAGAAAAGGGGAUUCAUUUUACCUUACACUGGUUAACAUGAGUGACAUUCAUAGCAAUUGCACAAGAUAUAGUAUAUCUGGAUGGUGGCUUAAAGGGUUUUUUAUUUGCUUAUUUUUAAGGGGUGUGUGUGGAAACAAUCUGUGCUGCAAGAAGGGUUUGUAUUUUUCCUUUGCAGAUGUUUAAGUUGCACAUGAAAAAAGGAACAUUUUCCCCCUUUGGAGCUUGGCUUGAGUUCAAGACAAUUUGCACAGAAAUAAAAUAAAGAAUCAGGAACGUACUUUAGAGUGUGCAUUCCAAAUCAUUUCAUUUGGAGUUAUGUCACCUGGUGUGGACCCUGCCCACCUGUCAAAGAGGAAUGGGGAGCUCAGGAUCUGGCUCACUAGCUGAAUCCUGUUCUGUACAAUCUCUGUUUGGUGGACUAUGGUGGAAUAGUGGAAUCAUUUUUUAAAAAAAAAAUCCCUUAAAUUCUUAUUCUUAGGAACACCCCAAAUUCACCAGAUGAUUCUAAACAACCUAGCACCUUCUCAUAGUCAUUUCCUCCUCAGAGGUUAAAUGCUGUUUAGACCAAUUAUAUAAAUUAUUCACAUGAACUGAAAGACAAAUGAAUAAAUGUGUUUCCUUUAGGUCAGUGUAGCCUGCUUUCCAAGUGAAGAUGAACUGUUUAUAUAAAUCAUUUCAGCUGUUGAGAGGAUGGACUAAGUAGAUAGCCUGUGACAGCUGCCCCCGCCCCAGGCUUUUCACCCUGGGUGAUUGCCUUGAUUGUAAAUUACUCUACAUGGAUGCAUCAGAGUUAUUAAAUGGGACACAUGCAUCAUGCAUUAAAUGCACCAUGCAUCAAAGUUAUUAAAUGUGUUACCGAUGCAAUUAGAACCGCAAGGCACAGCAUACAAAGUGUCUUUUGUACCUACUGUCCUCUUUCUCGCAGUGAUUUCCAUGCAAGGCAUUACUUUUUCCCUGGCAGCAUUCUUCAGCCUGUUAAACUGUUCCAUGGGGAGGCAUUUACAAACAUCUGAUGUAGCCAUAUUGGCAAAAUAUAUUUAUAUACAAUCUAAGACUUAUUGAAAGAUGCAUUUUGAAUUCUUUUCUUUUUAUUGCUUAGUUGUGUUGGAACAAAUCCAGCAAUACAACUUCCAGGUGCUUGGCAGACUGCUUUUCUUAAAGAGAAAGUGAUAAAGAAAUACAAUGUCCCUUUAUAGAAAAAGCAAUUAAUGGACUGUACAUUUUUUUAAAUUUUAAUUUAUUUAUGCUACAGCAAGGGUUACAGGAAUUUCAUUCAUAAAUUGCUUUAUUUAAGGUAUUUGCUUCUUCAACAAAAAAUGAAAUCAAUGCAAUGCAAUCAUAUGCAUUUUAUUAAUCAAUGACUUCUAAAUCAUCUGCUUAUGUUAAAAUGCAUGAGAUAAAACCUCAUUGUUCUUGUUCAAAUAUAAAACAUGUUAGCAGAGUCUGAUUGCAAUCCACAUACUGUUCUGCUAAUAUAAGCUCUUGUCAGUUCAGCAGGGUUUACUGAACUCCAGCAAAGAUAUCUGGAGAUCAGACUAUGCCUCUGAGGUGCUAUUCUUUUAAAAGAGAGAGACAGAAAAAAAGAAAGUACCACAGAACAGAAACUAGAAGAGGAAACGUCCCUCUUCCAAUUAAGGAAUAACAUUUUUCAGCAACCUCAUCAUAUUUUAGUGAAAGAUGUUGCAAAAUGAUGAAGCUCCCUUCACAAAAGAAAACUUCUCAUGAAUAUUCAUUUGCAUUCUAGGAGAAUUUGAUUGUCUCAUUCUCCAUUCCAUCUCUAAAACAGAAUUAAUGACCUUAAAUAGUCUCCUCUGACAUUCUCUUUGUCCUCAGCUAGGUAAGUAAUUUAGCAUACUGGUUCUCUGACCCCCAAAACCUUAUCUUAGCACACAUUGCAGCAAUUCUGCUUAUCUAAGCUUUUUUGCUUUUAUGGUAUAAUUUUAUGCAACUAAAGAAAAGAGAGAACACAUUCAGUUCUCACUCUUUCUGAGAGCAGCUCCACACAUUACAAAGAUGCAUCAAAAGAAGAUAGUGAAAGAACAAUACAUCCUCUUGCUGCUUUCAUUAGAACAGCCUUUCCCAAGCAGGUGCCCCCAAGAAGAUGCUUGGACUACAACUCCCACCAGCCCCAGCCAGCAUGGCCAGUGGUGAAGAAUGAUGGGAGUUGUACUCUGGCAACACCUGGAAGACACCAAGACUGCACUUGCAAAUUGGAUGUGGCCUUUAUGGACCUUAUGAGUUGUGAUCCCCAAGGCCAUUUCAGACUCAUGGAUCGUGCAACAUGAAAACCAGGAAGUUUCAGCACUCAUAUUUCCUUUCUUGCUAUUUUCAUGGAACAUGGAAGUGACUCAGAUCACAGGACAGGCAUUUUGUUUUUAAAAUUAUAUGGGGAUCUUUUGCACACCAGCAAGGAUUAUAUGCAUGUGCAUUGUCUUGUUUUAAGCCAAGUGUACAGAAGAUUAUCAGAAUCAAAUGAGAAAAAUAAUGAGCCAAACACUCCAUGGAGGCAAGGUUGUGGCCAUGUAUCUUUUUCAGUUCAUAAUCUGUUCCAAGUAUUGUCUUCUUUUUUUCUAGAGACCGUUUUUUAAAAAUUUCAAAUUUGGAUUGGGGGAAAUGCAGAAUGUUGUAUAUUUUAAAGACAUGAACUGACUUAACUUGAUGAUCAGGGGAGCUGGAUGGUUAGCCAGGCAGGCUUCAUGCAUAUUGUUUAUUAUAUACACAUAGAAGGAACCACAAAUGACUGAACUAUUGGCCCUAUUCACUUGUUACAUCAGGGCAUAUUCAUGUUAACAUUUGGGACAGGGCUAAAACUACCACUGCACUCUGAAAUAGAGAUUUCUUCCUUCAGCAGUUGCAUGUUGCACAUGCUUGUUUGUAAAGAAACGUGAAGCACCUCCUUACGUACCGGGUCUCUGCAUGGUCACACCACACUCACAAGCAAGGCUUCACUCCAGAGUAAACAUGACUGCCCUACAUGGAAGUAAUACAUAAAUAGGGCUAUUGUGGAGUUAUAUAUCUGAAGCUAUUCACAUUUCUUAUUCAGGAAGUGCUGGUGGUUGAAGCAAAUCUGCAAUUUACCAAUCACUAUACCACGGAAGAGUUACAUUUUAGUCUGUUCAAGGUAAGCUUUGCUUUGUAUCCCUUGCUAUUAGAGAUUCAUAAGUAUUAUGCAAAAUGUUCCUAGGAUAAUUUGCACAAUGGGG